GGGCUGGGCUUUUCAUUGACCAUGGGUUGGAAUAGUUCUGUGGGCAUAGUGUGUCUCCAAAGCCACUAUGUUUUCUGCUGUUGUGACUAGAGAGCACCUUGAUAGCUCAGUUGGUAGAGCAGUGCACUGUAAGAUGCUCCUUGUGUGAAACACUGUGAUCCUAAGGUCGCUGGUUCAACUCCAGCUCCAAGCACCUCCUUGUGAUUGGAAAUACCCCAAAGCCUUGUCUUUAUCUGUCAACUCCUCCAAAAUGUAAAAACACAAACAAGAUAACUCUUUCUUUAAUUUUCAACCAUCAAUUUUUUAUUCACCCAGCCUAAAAGUCCUGAUUAUUAGUUCUGGGUCCCUGGCAAUGACUGUUGGUUACAAACUGCAAAGCUUUGUUCUACAGGUAGGGCUGGGCUUUUCAUUGACCAUGGGUUGGAAUAGUUCUGUGGGCAUAGUGUGUCUCCAAAGCCACUAUGUUUUCUGCUGUUGUGACUAGAAAGCACCUUGAUAGCUCAGUUGGUAGAGCAGUGGACUGUAAGAUGCUCCUUGUGUGAAACGCUGUGAUCCCAAGGUCGCUGGUUCAACUCCAGCUCCAAGCACCUCCUUGUCAUUGGAAAUACCCCCAAGCCUUGUCUUUAUCUGUCAACUCCUCCAAAAUGUAAAAUCACAAACAAGAUAACUCUUUCUUAAAUUUUCCACCAACAAUUUUUUAUCCACCCAGCCUAAAAGUCCUGAUUAUUUGUUCUGGGUCCCUGGCAAUGACGGUUGGGUACAAACUGCAAAGCUUUGUUCUACAGGUAGGGCUGGGCUUUUCAUUGACCAUGGGUUGGAAUAGUUCUGUGGGCAUAGUGUGUCUCCAAAGCCACUAUGUUUUCUGCUGUUGUGACUAUAGAGCACCUUGAUAGCUCAGUUGGUAGAGCGGUGGACUGUAAGAUGCUCCUUGUGUGAAACACUGUGAUCCUAAGGUCGCUGGUUCAACUCCAGCUCCAAGCACCUCCUUGUGAUUGGAAAUACCCCAAAGCCUUGUCUUUAUCUGUCAACUCCUCCAAAAUGUAAAAUCACAAACAAGAUAACUCUUUCUUAAAUUUUCCACCAACAAUUUUUUAUCCACCCAGCCUAAAAGUCCUGAUUAUUUGUUCUGGGUCCCUGGCAAUGACGGUUGGGUACAAACUGCAAAGCUUUGUUCUACAGGUAGGGCUGGGCUUUUCAUUGACCAUGGGUUGGAAUAGUUCUGUGGGCAUAGUGUGUCUCCAAAGCCACUAUGUUUUCUGCUGUUGUGACUAUAGAGCACCUUGAUAGCUCAGUUGGUAGAGCGGUGGACUGUAAGAUGCUCCUUGUGUGAAACGCUCUGAUCCUAAGGUCGCUGGUUCAACUCCAGCUCCAAGCACCUCCUUGUCAUUGGAAAUACCCCCAAGCCUUGUCUUUAUCUGUCAACUCCUUUCAAAAUGUAAAAACACAAACAAGAUAACUCUUUCUUAAAUUUUCAACCAUCAAUUAUUUAUUCACCCAGCCUAAAAGUCCUGAUUAUUAGUUCUGGGUCCCUGGCAAUGACUGUUGGUUACAAACUGCAAAGCUUUGUUCUACAGGUAGGGCUGGGCUUUUCAUUGACCAUGGGUUGGAAUAGUUCUGUGGGCAAAGUGUGUCUCCAAAGCCACUAUGUUUUCUGCUGUUGUGACUACAGAGCACCUUGGUAGCUCAGUUGGUAGAGCGGUGGACUGUAAGAUGCUCCUUGUGUGAAACGCUGUGAUCCCAAGGUCGCUUGUUCAACUCCAGCUCCAAGCACCUCCUUGUCAUUGGAAAUACCCCCAAGCCUUGUCUUUAUCUGUCAACUCCUCCAAAAUGUAAAAACACAAACAAGAUAACUCUUUCUUAAAUUUUCAACCAUCAAUUUUUUAUUCACCCAGCCUAAAAGUCCUGAUUAUUAGUUCUGGGUCCCUGGCUAUGACUGUUGGGUACAAACUGCAAAGCUUUGUUCUACAGGUAGGGCUGGGCUUUUCAUUGACCAUGGGUUGGAAUAGUUCUGUGGGCAUAGUGUGUCUCCAAAGCCACUAUGUUUUCUGCUGUUGUGACUAGAGAGCACCUUGAUAAGCUCAGUUGGUAGAGCAGUGGACUGUAAGAUGCUCCUUGUGUGAAACACUGUGAUCCUAAUGUUGCUGGUUCAACUCCAGCUCCAAGCACCUCCUUGUGAUUGGAAAUACCCCCAAGCCAUGUGUUUAUCAAUUAACUCCUCCAAAAUGUAAAAACACAAACAAGUUAACUCAUUCUUAAAUUUUCAACCAUCAAUUUUUUAUCCACCCAGCCUAAAAGUCCUGAUUAUUAGUUCUGGGUCCCUGGCAAUGACUGUUGGGUACAAACUGCAAAGCUUUGUUCUACAGGUAGGGCUGGGCCUUUCAUUGACCAUGGGUUGGAAUACUUCUGUGGGCAAAGUGUGUCUCCAAAGCCACUAUGUUUUCUGCUGUUGUGACUACAGAGCACCUUGAUAGCUCAGUUGGUAGAGCAGUGGACUGUAAGAUGCUCCUUGUGUGAAACGCUGUGAUCCCAAGGUCGCUGGUUCAACUCCAGCUCCAAGCACCUCCUUGUCAUUGGAAAUACCCCCAAGCCUUGUCUUUAUCUGUAAACUCCUCCAAAAUGUAAAAUCACAAACAAGAUAACUCUUUCUUAAAUUUUCCACCAACAAUUUUUUAUCCACCCAGCCUAAAAGUCCUGAUUAUUUGUUCUGGGUCCCUGGCAAUGACGGUUGGGUACAAACUGCAAAGCUUUGUUCUACAGGUAGGGCUGGGCUUUUCAUUGACCAUGGGUUGGAAUAGUUCUGUGGGCAUAGUGUGUCUCCAAAGCCACUAUGUUUUCUGCUGUUGUGACUAUAGAGCACCUUGAUAGCUCAGUUGGUAGAGCAGUGGACUGUAAGAUGCUCCUUGUGUGAAACACUGUGAUCCUAAGGUCGCUGGUUCAACUCCAGCUCCAAGCACCUCCUUGUGAUUGGAAAUACCCCCAAAGCCUUGUCUUUAUCUGUCAACUCCUCCAAAAUGUAAAAUCACAAACAAGAUAACUCUUUCUUAAAUUUUCCACCAACAAUUUUUUAUCCACCCAGCCUAAAAGUCCUGAUUAUUUGUUCUGGGUCCCUGGCAAUGACGGUUGGGUACAAACUGCAAAGCUUUGUUCUACAGGUAGGGCUGGGCUUUUCAUUGACCAUGGGUUGGAAUAGUUCUGUGGGCAUAGUGUGUCUCCAAAGCCACUAUGUUUUCUGCUGUUGUGACUAUAGAGCACCUUGAUAGCUCAGUUGGUAGAGCGGUGGACUGUAAGAUGCUCCUUGUGUGAAACGCUCUGAUCCUAAGGUCGCUGGUUCAACUCCAGCUCCAAGCACCUCCUUGUCAUUGGAAAUACCCCCAAGCCUUGUCUUUAUCUGUCAACCCCUUUCAAAAUGUAAAAACACAAACAAGAUAACUCUUUCUUAAAUUUUCAACCAUCAAUUUUUUAUUCACCCAGCCUAAAAGUCCUGAUUAUUAGUUCUGGGUCCCUGGCAAUGACUGUUGGUUACAAACUGCAAAGCUUUGUUCUACAGGUAGGGCUGGGCUUUUCAUUGACCAUGGGUUGGAAUAGUUCUGUGGGCAAAGUGUGUCUCCAAAGCCACUAUGUUUUCUGCUGUUGUGACUACAGAGCACCUUGAUAGCUCAGUUGGUAGAGCGGUGGACUGUAAGAUGCUCCUUGUGUGAAAUGCUGUGAUCCCAAGGUCGCUUGUUCAACUCCAGCUCCAAGCACCUCCUUGUCAUUGGAAAUACCCCCAAGCCUUGUCUUUAUCUGUCAACUCCUCCAAAAUGUAAAAACACAAACAAGAUAACUCUUUCUUAAAUUUUCAACCAUCAAUUUUUUAUUCACCCAGCCUAAAAGUCCUGAUUAUUAGUUCUGGGUCCCUGGCUAUGACUGUUGGGUACAAACUGCAAAGCUUUGUUCUACAGGUAGGGCUGGGCUUUUCAUUGACCAUGGGUUGGAAUAGUUCUGUGGGCAUAGUGUGUCUCCAAAGCCACUAUGUUUUCUGCUGUUGUGACUAGAGAGCACCUUGAUAAGCUCAGUUGGUAGAGCAGUGGACUGUAAGAUGCUCCUUGUGUGAAACACUGUGAUCCUAAUGUUGCUGGUUCAACUCCAGCUCCAAGCACCUCCUUGUGAUUGGAAAUACCCCCAAGCCAUGUGUUUAUCAAUUAACUCCUCCAAAAUGUAAAAACACAAACAAGUUAACUCAUUCUUAAAUUUUCAACCAUCAAUUUUUUAUCCACCCAGCCUAAAAGUCCUGAUUAUUAGUUCUGGGUCCCUGACAAUGACUGUUGGGUACAAACUGCAAAGCUUUGUUCUACAGGUAGGGCUGGGCUUUUCAUUGACCAUGGGUUGGAAUAGUUCUGUGGGCAUAGUGUGUCUCCAAAGCCACUAUGUUUUCUGCUGUUGUGACUAGAGAGCACCUUGAUAGCUCAGUUGGUAGAGCAGUGCACUGUAAGAUGCUCCUUGUGUGAAACACUGUGAUCCUAAGGUCGCUGGUUCAACUCCAGCUCCAAGCACCUCCUUGUGAUUGGAAAUACCCCAAAGCCUUGUCUUUAUCUGUCAACUCCUCCAAAAUGUAAAAACACAAACAAGAUAACUCUUUCUUUAAUUUUCAACCAUCAAUUUUUUAUUCACCCAGCCUAAAAGUCCUGAUUAUUAGUUCUGGGUCCCUGGCAAUGACUGUUGGUUACAAACUGCAAAGCUUUGUUCUACAGGUAGGGCUGGGCUUUUCAUUGACCAUGGGUUGGAAUAGUUCUGUGGGCAAAGUGUGUCUCCAAAGCCACUAUGUUUUCUGCUGUUGUGACUAGAAAGCACCUUGAUAGCUCAGUUGGUAGAGCAGUGGACUGUAAGAUGCUCCUUGUGUGAAACGCUGUGAUCCCAAGGUCGCUGGUUCAACUCCAGCUCCAAGCACCUCCUUGUCAUUGGAAAUACCCCCAAGCCUUGUCUUUAUCUGUCAACUCCUCCAAAAUGUAAAAUCACAAACAAGAUAACUCUUUCUUAAAUUUUCCACCAACAAUUUUUUAUCCACCCAGCCUAAAAGUCCUGAUUAUUUGUUCUGGGUCCCUGGCAAUGACGGUUGGGUACAAACUGCAAAGCUUUGUUCUACAGGUAGGGCUGGGCUUUUCAUUGACCAUGGGUUGGAAUAGUUCUGUGGGCAUAGUGUGUCUCCAAAGCCACUAUGUUUUCUGCUGUUGUGACUAUAGAGCACCUUGAUAGCUCAGUUGGUAGAGCGGUGGACUGUAAGAUGCUCCUUGUGUGAAACACUGUGAUCCUAAGGUCGCUGGUUCAACUCCAGCUCCAAGCACCUCCUUGUGAUUGGAAAUACCCCAAAGCCUUGUCUUUAUCUGUCAACUCCUCCAAAAUGUAAAAUCACAAACAAGAUAACUCUUUCUUAAAUUUUCCACCAACAAUUUUUUAUCCACCCAGCCUAAAAGUCCUGAUUAUUUGUUCUGGGUCCCUGGCAAUGACGGUUGGGUACAAACUGCAAAGCUUUGUUCUACAGGUAGGGCUGGGCUUUUCAUUGACCAUGGGUUGGAAUAGUUCUGUGGGCAUAGUGUGUCUCCAAAGCCACUAUGUUUUCUGCUGUUGUGACUAUAGAGCACCUUGAUAGCUCAGUUGGUAGAGCGGUGGACUGUAAGAUGCUCCUUGUGUGAAACGCUCUGAUCCUAAGGUCGCUGGUUCAACUCCAGCUCCAAGCACCUCCUUGUCAUUGGAAAUACCCCCAAGCCUUGUCUUUAUCUGUCAACCCCUUUCAAAAUGUAAAAACACAAACAAGAUAACUCUUUCUUAAAUUUUCAACCAUCAAUUAUUUAUUCACCCAGCCUAAAAGUCCUGAUUAUUAGUUCUGGGUCCCUGGCAAUGACUGUUGGUUACAAACUGCAAAGCUUUGUUCUACAGGUAGGGCUGGGCUUUUCAUUGACCAUGGGUUGGAAUAGUUCUGUGGGCAAAGUGUGUCUCCAAAGCCACUAUGUUUUCUGCUGUUGUGACUACAGAGCACCUUGGUAGCUCAGUUGGUAGAGCGGUGGACUGUAAGAUGCUCCUUGUGUGAAACGCUGUGAUCCCAAGGUCGCUUGUUCAACUCCAGCUCCAAGCACCUCCUUGUCAUUGGAAAUACCCCCAAGCCUUGUCUUUAUCUGUCAACUCCUCCAAAAUGUAAAAACACAAACAAGAUAACUCUUUCUUAAAUUUUCAACCAUCAAUUUUUUAUUCACCCAGCCUAAAAGUCCUGAUUAUUAGUUCUGGGUCCCUGGCUAUGACUGUUGGGUACAAACUGCAAAGCUUUGUUCUACAGGUAGGGCUGGGCUUUUCAUUGACCAUGGGUUGGAAUAGUUCUGUGGGCAUAGUGUGUCUCCAAAGCCACUAUGUUUUCUGCUGUUGUGACUAGAGAGCACCUUGAUAAGCUCAGUUGGUAGAGCAGUGGACUGUAAGAUGCUCCUUGUGUGAAACACUGUGAUCCUAAUGUUGCUGGUUCAACUCCAGCUCCAAGCACCUCCUUGUGAUUGGAAAUACCCCCAAGCCAUGUGUUUAUCAAUUAACUCCUCCAAAAUGUAAAAACACAAACAAGUUAACUCAUUCUUAAAUUUUCAACCAUCAAUUUUUUAUCCACCCAGCCUAAAAGUCCUGAUUAUUAGUUCUGGGUCCCUGGCAAUGACUGUUGGGUACAAACUGCAAAGCUUUGUUCUACAGGUAGGGCUGGGCUUUUCAUUGACCAUGGGUUGGAAUAGUUCUGUGGGCAUAGUGUGUCUCCAAAGCCACUAUGUUUUCUGCUGUUGUGACUACAGAGCACCUUGAUAGCUCAGUUGGUAGAGCAGUGGACUGUAAGAUGCUCCUUGUAUGAAACGCUGUGAUUCUAAGGUCGCUGGUUCAACUCCAGCUCCAAGCACCUCCUUGUCAUUGGAAAUACCCCCAAGCCUUGUCUUUAUCUGUCAACUCCUCCAAAAUGUAAAAACACAAACAAGAUAACUCUUUCUUAAAUUUUCCACCAACAAUUUUUUAUCCACCCAGCCUAAACGUCCUGAUUAUAAGUUCUGGGUCCCUGGCUAUGACUGUUGGGUACAAACUGCAAAGCUUUGUUCUACAGGUAGGGCUGGGCUUUUCAUUGACCAUGGGUUGGAAUAGUUCUGUGGGCAUAGUGUGUCUCCAAAGCCAUUAUGUUUUCUGCUGUUGUGACUAGAGAGCACCUUGAUAGCUCAGUUGGUAGAGCAGUGGACUGUAAGAUGCUCCUUGUGUGAAACGCUGUGAUCCUAAGGUCGCUGGUUCAACUCCAGCUCCAAGCACCUCCUUGUCAUUGGAAAUACCCCCAAGCCUUGUCUUUAUCUGUCAACUCCUCCAAAAUGUAAAAACACAAACAAGAUAACUCUUUCUUAAAUUUUCAACCAUCAAUUUUUUAUUCACCCAGCCUAAAAGUCCUGAUUAUUAGUUCUGGGUCCCUGGCAAUGACUGUUGGGUACAAACUGCAAAGCUUUGUUCUACAGGUAGGGCUGGGCCUUUCAUUGACCAUGGGUUGGAAUAGUUCUGUGGGCAAAGUGUGUCUCCAAAGCCACUAUGUUUUGUGCUGUUGUGACUAUAGAGCACCUUGAUAGCUCAGUUGGUAGAGCGGUGGACUGUAAGAUGCUCCUUGUGUGAAACGCUGUCAUCCCAAGGUCGCUGGUUCAACUCCAGCUCCAAGCACCUCCUUGUCAUUGGAAAUACCCCCAAGCCUUGUCUUUAUCAAUCAACUCCUCCAAAAUGUAAAAACACAAACAAGUUAACUCAUUCUUAAAUUUUCAACCAUCAAUUUUUUAUCCACCCAGCCUAAAAGUCCUGAUUAUUAGUUCUGGGUCCCUGGCAAUGACUGUUGGGUACAAACUGCAAAGCUUUGUUCUACAGGUAGGGCUGGGCUUUUCAUUGACCAUGGGUUGGAAUAGUUCUGUGGGCAUAGUGUGUCUCCAAAGCCACUAUGUUUUCUGCUGUUUUGACUAGAGAGCACCUUGAUAGCUCAGUUGGUAGAGCGGUGGACUGUAAGAUGCUCCUUGUGUGAAACGCUCUGAUCCUAAGGUCGCUGGUUCAACUCCAGCUCCAAGCACCUCCUUGUGAUUGGAAAUACCCCCAAGCCUUGUCUUUAUCUGUCAACUCCUCCAAAAUGUAAAAACACAAACAAGAUAACUCUUUCUUAAAUUUUCAACCAACAAUUUUUUAUCCACCCAGCCUAAAAGUCCUGAUUAUUAGUUCUGGGUCCCUGACAAUGACUGUUGGGUACAAACUGCAAAGCUUUGUUCUACAGGUAGGGCUGGGCUUUUCAUUGACCAUGGGUUGGAAUAGUUCUGUGGGCAAAGUGUGUCUCCAAAGCCACUAUGUUUUCUGCUGUUGUGACUAGAGAGCACCUUGAUAGCUCAGUUGGUAGAGCAGUGCACUGUAAGAUGCUCCUUGUGUGAAACACUGUGAUCCUAAGGUCGCUGGUUCAACUCCAGCUCCAAGCACCUCCUUGUGAUUGGAAAUACCCCAAAGCCUUGUCUUUAUCUGUCAACUCCUCCAAAAUGUAAAAACACAAACAAGAUAACUCUUUCUUUAAUUUUCAACCAUCAAUUUUUUAUUCACCCAGCCUAAAAGUCCUGAUUAUUAGUUCUGGGUCCCUGGCAAUGACUGUUGGGUACAAACUGCAAAGCUUUGUUCUACAGGUAGGGCUGGGCCUUUCAUUGACCAUGGGUUGGAAUAGUUCUGUGGGCAAAGUGUGUCUCCAAAGCCACUAUGUUUUCUGCUGUUGUGACUAGAGAGCACCUUGAUAGCUCAGUUGGUAGAGCAGUGGACUGUAAGAUGCUCCUUGUGUGAAACGCUGUGAUCCCAAGGUCGCUGGUUCAACUCCAGCUCCAAGCACCUCCUUGUCAUUGGAAAUACCCCCAAGCCUUGUCUUUAUCUGUAAACUCCUCCAAAAUGUAAAAUCACAAACAAGAUAACUCUUUCUUAAAUUUUCCACCAACAAUUUUUUAUCCACCCAGCCUAAAAGUCCUGAUUAUUUGUUCUGGGUCCCUGGCAAUGACGGUUGGGUACAAACUGCAAAGCUUUGUUCUACAGGUAGGGCUGGGCUUUUCAUUGACCAUGGGUUGGAAUAGUUCUGUGGGCAUAGUGUGUCUCCAAAGCCACUAUGUUUUCUGCUGUUGUGACUAUAGAGCACCUUGAUAGCUCAGUUGGUAGAGCGGUGGACUGUAAGAUGCUCCUUGUGUGAAACGCUCUGAUCCUAAGGUCGCUGGUUCAACUCCAGCUCCAAGCCCCUCCUUGUCAUUGGAAAUACCCCCAAGCCUUGUCUUUAUCUGUCAACCCCUUUCAAAAUGUAAAAACACAAACAAGAUAACUCUUUCUUAAAUUUUCAACCAUCAAUUUUUUAUUCACCCAGCCUAAAAGUCCUGAUUAUUAGUUCUGGGUCCCUGGCAAUGACUGUUGGUUACAAACUGCAAAGCUUUGUUCUACAGGUAGGGCUGGGCUUUUCAUUGACCAUGGGUUGGAAUAGUUCUGUGGGCAAAGUGUGUCUCCAAAGCCACUAUGUUUUCUGCUGUUGUGACUACAGAGCACCUUGAUAGCUCAGUUGGUAGAGCGUUGGACUGUUAGAUGCUCCUUGUGUGAAAUGCUGUGAUCCCAAGGUCGCUUGUUCAACUCCAGCUCCAAGCACCUCCUUGUCAUUGGAAAUACCCCCAAGCCUUGUCUUUAUCUGUCAACUCCUCCAAAAUGUAAAAACACAAACAAGAUAACUCUUUCUUAAAUUUUCAACCAUCAAUUUUUUAUUCACCCAGCCUAAAAGUCCUGAUUAUUAGUUCUGGGUCCCUGGCUAUGACUGUUGGGUACAAACUGCAAAGCUUUGUUCUACAGGUAGGGCUGGGCUUUUCAUUGACCAUGGGUUGGAAUAGUUCUGUGGGCAUAGUGUGUCUCCAAAGCCACUAUGUUUUCUGCUGUUGUGACUAGAGAGCACCUUGAUAAGCUCAGUUGGUAGAGCAGUGGACUGUAAGAUGCUCCUUGUGUGAAACACUGUGAUCCUAAUGUUGCUGGUUCAACUCCAGCUCCAAGCACCUCCUUGUGAUUGGAAAUACCCCCAAGCCAUGUGUUUAUCAAUUAACUCCUCCAAAAUGUAAAAACACAAACAAGUUAACUCAUUCUUAAAUUUUCAACCAUCAAUUUUUUAUCCACCCAGCCUAAAAGUCCUGAUUAUUAGUUCUGGGUCCCUGACAAUGACUGUUGGGUACAAACUGCAAAGCUUUGUUCUACAGGUAGGGCUGGGCUUUUCAUUGACCAUGGGUUGGAAUAGUUCUGUGGGCAUAGUGUGUCUCCAAAGCCACUAUGUUUUCUGCUGUUGUGACUAGAGAGCACCUUGAUAGCUCAGUUGGUAGAGCGGUGGACUGUAAGAUGCUCCUUGUGUGAAACACUGUGAUCCUAAGGUCGCUGGUUCAACUCCAGCUCCAAGCACCUCCUUGUGAUUGGAAAUACCCCAAAGCCUUGUCUUUAUCUGUCAACUCCUCCAAAAUGUAAAAUCACAAACAAGAUAACUCUUUCUUAAAUUUUCCACCAACAAUUUUUUAUCCACCCAGCCUAAAAGUCCUGAUUAUUUGUUCUGGGUCCCUGGCAAUGACGGUUGGGUACAAACUGCAAAGCUUUGUUCUACAGGUAGGGCUGGGCUUUUCAUUGACCAUGGGUUGGAAUAGUUCUGUGGGCAUAGUGUGUCUCCAAAGCCACUAUGUUUUCUGCUGUUGUGACUAGAGAGCACCUUGAUAGCUCAGUUGGUAGAGCGGUGGACUGUAAGAUGCUCCUUGUGUGAAACGCUCUGAUCCUAAGGUCGCUGGUUCAACUCCAGCUCCAAGCACCUCCUUGUCAUUGGAAAUACCCCCAAGCCUUGUCUUUAUCUGUCAACCCCUUUCAAAAUGUAAAAACACAAACAAGAUAACUCUUUCUUAAAUUUUCAACCAUCAAUUUUUUAUUCACCCAGCCUAAAAGUCCUGAUUAUUAGUUCUGGGUCCCUGGCAAUGACUGUUGGUUACAAACUGCAAAGCUUUGUUCUACAGGUAGGGCUGGGCUUUUCAUUGACCAUGGGUUGGAAUAGUUCUGUGGGCAAAGUGUGUCUCCAAAGCCACUAUGUUUUCUGCUGUUGUGACUACAGAGCACCUUGGUAGCUCAGUUGGUAGAGCGGUGGACUGUAAGAUGCUCCUUGUGUGAAACGCUGUGAUCCCAAGGUCGCUUGUUCAACUCCAGCUCCAAGCACCUCCUUGUCAUUGGAAAUACCCCCAAGCCUUGUCUUUAUCUGUCAACUCCUCCAAAAUGUAAAAACACAAACAAGAUAACUCUUUCUUAAAUUUUCAACCAUCAAUUUUUUAUUCACCCAGCCUAAAAGUCCUGAUUAUUAGUUCUGGGUCCCUGGCUAUGACUGUUGGGUACAAACUGCAAAGCUUUGUUCUACAGGUAGGGCUGGGCUUUUCAUUGACCAUGGGUUGGAAUAGUUCUGUGGGCAUAGUGUGUCUCCAAAGCCACUAUGUUUUCUGCUGUUGUGACUAGAGAGCACCUUGAUAAGCUCAGUUGGUAGAGCAGUGGACUGUAAGAUGCUCCUUGUGUGAAACACUGUGAUCCUAAUGUUGCUGGUUCAACUCCAGCUCCAAGCACCUCCUUGUGAUUGGAAAUACCCCCAAGCCUUGUCUUUAUCUGUCAACUCCUCCAAAAUGUAAAAACACAAACAAGUUAACUCAUUCUUAAAUUUUCAACCAUCAAUUUUUUAUCCACCCAGCCUAAAAGUCCUGAUUAUUAGUUCUGGGUCCCUGGAAAUGACUGUUGGGUACAAACUGCAAAGCUUUGUUCUACAGGUAGGGCUGGGCUUUUCAUUGACCAUGGGUUGGAAUAGUUCUGUGGGCAUAGUGUGUCUCCAAAGCCACUAUGUUUUCUGCUGUUGUGACUACAGAGCACCUUGAUAGCUCAGUUGGUAGAGCGGUGGACUGUAAGAUGCUCCUUGUAUGAAACGCUGUGAUUCUAAGGUCGCUGGUUCAACUCCAGCUCCAAGCACCUCCUUGUCAUUGGAAAUACCCCCAAGCCUUGUCUUUAUCUGUCAACUCCUCCAAAAUGUAAAAACACAAACAAUAUAACUCUUUCUUAAAUUUUCCACCAACAAUUUUUUAUCCACCCAGCCUAAACGUCCUGAUUAUUAGUUCUGGGUCCCUGGCUAUGACUGUUGGGUACAAACUGCAAAGCUUUGUUCUACAGGUAGGGCUGGGCUUUUCAUUGACCAUGGGUUGGAAUAGUUCUGUGGGCAUAGUGUGUCUCCAAAGCCAUUAUGUUUUCUGCUGUUGUGACUAGAGAGCACCUUGAUAGCUCAGUUGGUAGAGCAGUGGACUGUAAGAUGCUCCUUGUGUGAAACGCUGUGAUCCUAAGGUCGCUGGUUCAACUCCAGCUCCAAGCACCUCCUUGUCAUUGGAAAUACCCCCAAGCCUUGUCUUUAUCUGUCAACUCCUCCAAAAUGUAAAAACACAAACAAGAUAACUCUUUCUUAAAUUUUCAACCAUCAAUUUUUUAUUCACCCAGCCUAAAAGUCCUGAUUAUUAGUUCUGGGUCCCUGGCAAUGACUGUUGGGUACAAACUGCAAAGCUUUGUUCUACAGGUAGGGCUGGGCCUUUCAUUGACCAUGGGUUGGAAUAGUUCUGUGGGCAAAGUGUGUCUCCAAAGCCACUAUGUUUUGUGCUGUUGUGACUAUAGAGCACCUUGAUAGCUCAGUUGGUAGAGCGGUGGACUGUAAGAUGCUCCUUGUGUGAAACGCUGUGAUCCCAAGGUCGCUGGUUCAACUCCAGCUCCAAGCACCUCCUUGUCAUUGGAAAUACCCCCAAGCCUUGUCUUUAUCAAUCAACUCCUCCAAAAUGUAAAAACACAAACAAGUUAACUCAUUCUUAAAUUUUCAACCAUCAAUUUUUUAUCCACCCAGCCUAAAAGUCCUGAUUAUUAGUUCUGGGUCCCUGGCAAUGACUGUUGGGUACAAACUGCAAAGCUUUGUUCUACAGGUAGGGCUGGGCUUUUCAUUGACCAUGGGUUGGAAUAGUUCUGUGGGCAUAGUGUGUCUCCAAAGCCACUAUGUUUUCUGCUGUUUUGACUAGAGAGCACCUUGAUAGCUCAGUUGGUAGAGCGGUGGACUGUAAGAUGCUCCUUGUGUGAAACGCUCUGAUCCUAAGGUCGCUGGUUCAACUCCAGCUCCAAGCACCUCCUUGUGAUUGGAAAUACCCCCAAGCCUUGUCUUUAUCUGUCAACUCCUCCAAAAUGUAAAAACACAAACAAGAUAACUCUUUCUUAAAUUUUCAACCAUCAAUUUUUUAUUCACCCAGCCUAAAAGUCCUGAUUAUUAGUUCUGGGUCCCUGGCAAUGACUGUUGGGUACAAACUGCAAAGCUUUGUUCUACAGGUAGGGCUGGGCCUUUCAUUGACCAUGGGUUGGAAUAGUUCUGUGGGCAAAGUGUGUCUCCAAAGCCACUAUGUUUUCUGCUGUUGUGACUAGAAAGCACCUUGAUAGCUCAGUUGGUAGAGCAGUGGACUGUAAGAUGCUCCUUGUGUGAAACGCUGUGAUCCCAAGGUCGCUGGUUCAACUCCAGCUCCAAGCACCUCCUUGUCAUUGGAAAUACCCCCAAGCCUUGUCUUUAUCUGUCAACUCCUCCAAAAUGUAAAAUCACAAACAAGAUAACUCUUUCUUAAAUUUUCCACCAACAAUUUUUUAUCCACCCAGCCUAAAAGUCCUGAUUAUUUGUUCUGGGUCCCUGGCAAUGACGGUUGGGUACAAACUGCAAAGCUUUGUUCUACAGGUAGGGCUGGGCUUUUCAUUGACCAUGGGUUGGAAUAGUUCUGUGGGCAUAGUGUGUCUCCAAAGCCACUAUGUUUUCUGCUGUUGUGACUAUAGAGCACCUUGAUAGCUCAGUUGGUAGAGCGGUGGACUGUAAGAUGCUCCUUGUGUGAAACACUGUGAUCCUAAGGUCGCUGGUUCAACUCCAGCUCCAAGCACCUCCUUGUGAUUGGAAAUACCCCAAAGCCUUGUCUUUAUCUGUCAACUCCUCCAAAAUGUAAAAUCACAAACAAGAUAACUCUUUCUUAAAUUUUCCACCAACAAUUUUUUAUCCACCCAGCCUAAAAGUCCUGAUUAUUUGUUCUGGGUCCCUGGCAAUGACGGUUGGGUACAAACUGCAAAGCUUUGUUCUACAGGUAGGGCUGGGCUUUUCAUUGACCAUGGGUUGGAAUAGUUCUGUGGGCAUAGUGUGUCUCCAAAGCCACUAUGUUUUCUGCUGUUGUGACUAUAGAGCACCUUGAUAGCUCAGUUGGUAGAGCGGUGGACUGUAAGAUGCUCCUUGUGUGAAACGCUCUGAUCCUAAGGUCGCUGGUUCAACUCCAGCUCCAAGCACCUCCUUGUCAUUGGAAAUACCCCCAAGCCUUGUCUUUAUCUGUCAACCCCUUUCAAAAUGUAAAAACACAAACAAGAUAACUCUUUCUUAAAUUUUCAACCAUCAAUUUUUUAUUCACCCAGCCUAAAAGUCCUGAUUAUUAGUUCUGGGUACCUGGCAAUGACUGUUGGGUACAAACUGCAAAGCUUUGUUCUACAGGUAGGGCUGGGCUUUUCAUUGACCAUGGGUUGGAAUAGUUCUGUGGGCAUAGUGUGUCUCCAAAGCCACUAUGUUUUCUGCUGUUUUGACUAGAGAGCACCUUGAUAGCUCAGUUGGUAGAGCGGUGGACUGUAAGAUGCUCCUUGUGUGAAACGCUCUGAUCCUAAGGUCGCUGGUUCAACUCCAGCUCCAAGCACCUCCUUGUGAUUGGAAAUACCCCCAAGCCUUGUCUUUAUCUGUCAACUCCUCCAAAAUGUAAAAACACAAACAAGAUAACUCUUUCUUACAUUUUCAACCAUCAAUUUUUUAUUCACCCAGCCUAAAAGUCCUGAUUAUUAGUUCUGGGUCCCUGGCAAUGACUGUUGGGUACAAACUGCAAAGCUUUGUUCUACAGGUAGGGCUGGGCCUUUCAUUGACCAUGGGUUGGAAUAGUUCUGUGGGCAAAGUGUGUCUCCAAAGCCACUAUGUUUUCUGCUGUUGUGACUAGAAAGCACCUUGAUAGCUCAGUUGGUAGAGCAGUGGACUGUAAGAUGCUCCUUGUGUGAAACGCUGUGAUCCCAAGGUCGCUGGUUCAACUCCAGCUCCAAGCACCUCCUUGUCAUUGGAAAUACCCCCAAGCCUUGUCUUUAUCUGUCAACUCCUCCAAAAUGUAAAAUCACAAACAAGAUAACUCUUUCUUAAAUUUUCCACCAACAAUUUUUUAUCCACCCAGCCUAAAAGUCCUGAUUAUUUGUUCUGGGUCCCUGGCAAUGACGGUUGGGUACAAACUGCAAAGCUUUGUUCUACAGGUAGGGCUGGGCUUUUCAUUGACCAUGGGUUGGAAUAGUUCUGUGGGCAUAGUGUGUCUCCAAAGCCACUAUGUUUUCUGCUGUUGUGACUAUAGAGCACCUUGAUAGCUCAGUUGGUAGAGCGGUGGACUGUAAGAUGCUCCUUGUGUGAAACACUGUGAUCCUAAGGUCGCUGGUUCAACUCCAGCUCCAAGCACCUCCUUGUGAUUGGAAAUACCCCAAAGCCUUGUCUUUAUCUGUCAACUCCUCCAAAAUGUAAAAUCACAAACAAGAUAACUCUUUCUUAAAUUUUCCACCAACAAUUUUUUAUCCACCCAGCCUAAAAGUCCUGAUUAUUUGUUCUGGGUCCCUGGCAAUGACGGUUGGGUACAAACUGCAAAGCUUUGUUCUACAGGUAGGGCUGGGCUUUUCAUUGACCAUGGGUUGGAAAAGUUCUGUGGGCAUAGUGUGUCUCCAAAGCCACUAUGUUUUCUGCUGUUGUGACUAUAGAGCACCUUGAUAGCUCAGUUGGUAGAGCGGUGGACUGUAAGAUGCUCCUUGUGUGAAACGCUCUGAUCCUAAGGUCGCUGGUUCAACUCCAGCUCCAAGCACCUCCUUGUCAUUGGAAAUACCCCCAAGCCUUGUCUUUAUCUGUCAACCCCUUUCAAAAUGUAAAAACACAAACAAGAUAACUCUUUCUUAAAUUUUCAACCAUCAAUUUUUUAUUCACCCAGCCUAAAAGUCCUGAUUAUUAGUUCUGGGUCCCUGGCAAUGACUGUUGGUUACAAACUGCAAAGCUUUGUUCUACAGGUAGGGCUGGGCUUUUCAUUGACCAUGGGUUGGAAUAGUUCUGUGGGCAAAGUGUGUCUCCAAAGCCACUAUGUUUUCUGCUGUUGUGACUACAGAGCACCUUGAUAGCUCAGUUGGUAGAGCGGUGGACUGUAAGAUGCUCCUUGUGUGAAAUGCUGUGAUCCCAAGGUCGCUUGUUCAACUCCAGCUCCAAGCACCUCCUUGUCAUUGGAAAUACCCCCAAGCCUUGUCUUUAUCUGUCAACUCCUCCAAAAUGUAAAAACACAAACAAGAUAACUCUUUCUUAAAUUUUCAACCAUCAAUUUUUUAUUCACCCAGCCUAAAAGUCCUGAUUAUUAGUUCUGGGUCCCUGGCUAUGACUGUUGGGUACAAACUGCAAAGCUUUGUUCUACAGGUAGGGCUGGGCUUUUCAUUGACCAUGGGUUGGAAUAGUUCUGUGGGCAUAGUGUGUCUCCAAAGCCACUAUGUUUUCUGCUGUUGUGACUAGAGAGCACCUUGAUAAGCUCAGUUGGUAGAGCAGUGGACUGUAAGAUGCUCCUUGUGUGAAACACUGUGAUCCUAAUGUUGCUGGUUCAACUCCAGCUCCAAGCACCUCCUUGUGAUUGGAAAUACCCCCAAGCCAUGUGUUUAUCAAUUAACUCCUCCAAAAUGUAAAAACACAAACAAGUUAACUCAUUCUUAAAUUUUCAACCAUCAAUUUUUUAUCCACCCAGCCUAAAAGUCCUGAUUAUUAGUUCUGGGUCCCUGACAAUGACUGUUGGGUACAAACUGCAAAGCUUUGUUCUACAGGUAGGGCUGGGCUUUUCAUUGACCAUGGGUUGGAAUAGUUCUGUGGGCAUAGUGUGUCUCCAAAGCCACUAUGUUUUCUGCUGUUGUGACUAGAGAGCACCUUGAUAGCUCAGUUGGUAGAGCAGUGCACUGUAAGAUGCUCCUUGUGUGAAACACUGUGAUCCUAAGGUCGCUGGUUCAACUCCAGCUCCAAGCACCUCCUUGUGAUUGGAAAUACCCCAAAGCCUUGUCUUUAUCUGUCAACUCCUCCAAAAUGUAAAAACACAAACAAGAUAACUCUUUCUUUAAUUUUCAACCAUCAAUUUUUUAUUCACCCAGCCUAAAAGUCCUGAUUAUUAGUUCUGGGUCCCUGGCAAUGACUGUUGGGUACAAACUGCAAAGCUUUGUUCUACAGGUAGGGCUGGGCCUUUCAUUGACCAUGGGUUGGAAUAGUUCUGUGGGCAAAGUGUGUCUCCAAAGCCACUAUGUUUUCUGCUGUUGUGACUAGAAAGCACCUUGAUAGCUCAGUUGGUAGAGCAGUGGACUGUAAGAUGCUCCUUGUGUGAAACGCUGUGAUCCCAAGGUCGCUGGUUCAACUCCAGCUCCAAGCACCUCCUUGUCAUUGGAAAUACCCCCAAGCCUUGUCUUUAUCUGUCAACUCCUCCAAAAUGUAAAAUCACAAACAAGAUAACUCUUUCUUAAAUUUUCCACCAACAAUUUUUUAUCCACCCAGCCUAAAAGUCCUGAUUAUUUGUUCUGGGUCCCUGGCAAUGACGGUUGGGUACAAACUGCAAAGCUUUGUUCUACAGGUAGGGCUGGGCUUUUCAUUGACCAUGGGUUGGAAUAGUUCUGUGGGCAUAGUGUGUCUCCAAAGCCACUAUGUUUUCUGCUGUUGUGACUAUAGAGCACCUUGAUAGCUCAGUUGGUAGAGCGGUGGACUGUAAGAUGCUCCUUGUGUGAAACACUGUGAUCCUAAGGUCGCUGGUUCAACUCCAGCUCCAAGCACCUCCUUGUGAUUGGAAAUACCGCAAAGCCUUGUCUUUAUCUGUCAACUCCUCCAAAAUGUAAAAUCACAAACAAGAUAACUCUUUCUUAAAUUUUCCACCAACAAUUUUUUAUCCACCCAGCCUAAAAGUCCUGAUUAUUUGUUCUGGGUCCCUGGCAAUGACGGUUGGGUACAAACUGCAAAGCUUUGUUCUACAGGUAGGGCUGGGCUUUUCAUUGACCAUGGGUUGGAAUAGUUCUGUGGGCAUAGUGUGUCUCCAAAGCCACUAUGUUUUCUGCUGUUGUGACUAUAGAGCACCUUGAUAGCUCAGUUGGUAGAGCGGUGGACUGUAAGAUGCUCCUUGUGUGAAACGCUCUGAUCCUAAGGUCGCUGUUUCAACUCCAGCUCCAAGCACCUCCUUGUCAUUGGAAAUACCCCCAAGCCUUGUCUUUAUCUGUCAACCCCUUUCAAAAUGUAAAAACAAAAACAAGAUAACUCUUUCUUAAAUUUUCAACCAUCAAUUUUUUAUUCACCCAGCCUAAAAGUCCUGAUUAUUAGUUCUGGGUCCCUGGCAAUGACUGUUGGUUACAAACUGCAAAGCUUUGUUCUACAGGUAGGGCUGGGCUUUUCAUUGACCAUGGGUUGGAAUAGUUCUGUGGGCAAAGUGUGUCUCCAAAGCCACUAUGUUUUCUGCUGUUGUGACUACAGAGCACCUUGGUAGCUCAGUUGGUAGAGCGGUGGACUGUAAGAUGCUCCUUGUGUGAAACGCUGUGAUCCCAAGGUCGCUUGUUCAACUCCAGCUCCAAGCACCUCCUUGUCAUUGGAAAUACCCCCAAGCCUUGUCUUUAUCUGUCAACUCCUCCAAAAUGUAAAAACACAAACAAGAUAACUCUUUCUUAAAUUUUCAACCAUCAAUUUUUUAUUCACCCAGCCUAAAAGUCCUGAUUAUUAGUUCUGGGUCCCUGGCAAUGACUGUUGGGUACAAACUGCAAAGCUUUGUUCUACAGGUAGGGCUGGGCUUUUCAUUGACCAUGGGUUGGAAUAGUUCUGUGGGCAUAGUGUGUCUCCAAAGCCACUAUGUUUUCUGCUGUUGUGACUAUAGAGCACCUUGAUAGCUCAGUUGGUAGAGCGGUGCACUGUAAGAUGCUCCUUGUGUGAAACGCUGUGAUCCUAAUGUCGCUGGUUCAACUCCAGCUCCAAGCACCUCCUUGUCAUUGGAAAUACCCCCAAGCCUUGUCUUUAUCUGUCAACCCCUUUCAAAAUGUAAAAACACAAACAAGAUAACUCUUUCUUAAAUUUUCAACCAUCAAUUUUUUAUUCACCCAGCCUAAAAGUCCUGAUUAUUAGUUCUGGGUCCCUGGCAAUGACUGUUGGUUACAAACUGCAAAGCUUUGUUCUACAGGUAGGGCUGGGCUUUUCAUUGACCAUGGGUUGGAAUAGUUCUGUGGGCAAAGUGUGUCUCCAAAGCCACUAUGUUUUCUGCUGUUGUGACUACAGAGCACCUUGAUAGCUCAGUUGGUAGAGCGGUCGACUGUAAGAUGCUCCUUGUGUGAAACGCUGUGAUCCCAAGGUCGCUUGUUCAACUCCAGCUCCAAGCACCUCCUUGUCAUUGGAAAUACCCCCAAGCCUUGUCUUUAUCUGUCAACUCCUCCAAAAUGUAAAAACACAAACAAGAUAACUCUUUCUUAAAUUUUCAACCAUCAAUUUUUUAUUCACCCAGCCUAAAACUCCUGAUUAUUAGUUCUGGGUCCCUGGCAAUGACUGUUGGUUACAAACUGCAAAGCUUUGUUCUACAGGUAGGGCUGGGCUUUUCAUUGACCAUGGGUUGGAAUAGUUCUGUGGGCAUAGUGUGUCUCCAAAGCCACUAUGUUUUCUGCUGUUCUGACUAGAGCGCACCUUGAUAGCUCAGUUGGUAGAGCAGUGGACUGUAAGAUGCUCCUUGUGUGAAAAGCUGUGAUCCUAAGGUCGCUGUUUCAACUCCAGCUCCAAGCACCUCCUUGUCAUUGGAAAUACCCCCAAGCCUUGUCUUUAUCUGUCAACUCCUCCAAAAUGUAAAAACACAAACAAGAUAACUCUUUCUUAAAUUUUCCAUCAACAAUUUUUUAUUCACCCAGCCUAAACGUCCUGAUUAUUAGUUCUGGGUCCCUGGCAAUGACGGUUGGGUACAAACUGCAAAGCUUUGUUCUACAGGUAGGGCUGGGCUUUUCAUUGACCAUGGGUUGGAAUAGUUCUGUGGGCAUAGUGUGUCUCCAAAGCCACUAUGUUUUCUGCUGUUGUGACUAGAGAGCACCUUGAUAGCUCAGUUGGUAGAGCGGUCGACUGUAAGAUGCUCCUUGUGUGAAAAACUGUGAUCCUAAUGUCGCUGGUUCAACUCCAGCUCCAAGCACCUCCUUGUGAUUGGAAAUACCCCCAAGCCUUGUCUUUAUCAAUCAACUCCUCCAAAAUGUAAAAACACAAACAAGUUAACUCAUUCUUAAAUUUUCAACCAUCAAUUUUUUAUUCACCCAGCCUAAAAGUCCUGAUUAUUAGUUCUGGGUCCCUGACAAUGACUGUUGGGUACAAACUGCAAAGCUUUGUUCUACAGGUAGGGCUGGGCUUUUCAUUGACCAUGGGUUGGAAUUAGGCCUGGACGAUAUAGAAAAAAAGCAUAUCGAUAAAAAAUAAAUCAUAUUGAUCGAUAUCGAUAAUUAUCGAUAUAAUUAUUAUAAUUAUUUAACAUAUAUUUUAAUUGCAGCCCUGGAUGUUUUAUGCUAUUGCUUAAUGACCUACUUUUAAUAAAGAACACACAAGCACUGAAUUCAAAUUCAAACCUUUAUUCAACCACCUUUUUUAUUUUACCACAACUGAAAGUUUUUUAAAAAAGAACUAAAAAAAAAAGAAAUCAACUUAAGUGGCCUGAGUGUCAUCAGUAAAUACUGACAAACAUAAAGACUUAAGUGACCAGAAAAUCUGAUAAAUAAAUAUUUAAAUAGUCUUUUGAUGAAAAUAAACAAAACAAACAAAUAUAUAAAUAAACAGAAUAGCUUUAGGUGGGAAUAGCAUACUACCAGUUUUAACUGUGUGGGAAACUGCCCAAAGCCUGGUGUCUGAACACUGAAAUAUUUCUCCCGGGGUCGGGAGAUUUAUUUUUUUUAAUUAUCAUGUGAUUGACUUAAUACACAAACUAAGCACGAGAAGCAGGACUUAUCCACGCCGGUGUUGUGUCGUAGAAUGCACCCCUGCCGAAUGCACCCCCUGCUAGUAGCCAUGAUCCAAAUACUCGCGUCUUUGUAAAAUAUGAGCUCAUUUUCUUCCACUUUAAGAAGCGAAUGAGUGGACGGGAUGCAGGGGUGCAUCCUACGCCAAACACCGGAACGUAUUUCCUCCGCACCCUUCUCACCUUUUCAACCCCUGACCCGUUUUCAUGCCUGAAGCGCUGUGUUUGAGAAACACUUGCGGCCGGGCACUUCAUAUCGCGGGUCGAGAGUGGCUAGAAGCUGGUCGAAGCUAGGCUUUUCAACGGUAGUUAUUAGCAGUAUGUCCCUCGCUAUGGAGCAUGUUACUGCAUGGGUGAUGUCCUUAUGCCGCUUGGACGCUUUGUCGUAUUUUGGCAAGAAACGAAGUCCAGUUUGGUCUGCUUCACAUGCUUUGUGCUGGUGCUGGCAGCGGUUCCAGAGGAUUCCUCCUCCGACGACGUGGAGCCGCGGCGGGGCCGACACAGCUCGUACUCCUGCGGCUGCGAUCGGUUUAGAUGGUAGAACAAGUUGGUUGUGUUACCAGACUUGGUUUUUACUAAUUCUCUGCAAAUUUUGCAAACGACCGCUGUUCGCUUUUUGUCAGACUUCUAAAAACCAAAACACUGCCAUGCUGGUGAACUACUGAAACCUUUUUUCGGGACAAUGUCCUCCGCUUCUCCUUACUGUAUCAUUUUUUCUAAUACACGUGCUGUCUGUUGUGGUUUGAUAGGGGCUGGGCUUGGUGCCGUAGCGUACCUGGGUCUGCGUUUGUGAUUGGUUGGGAGGAAGCAAUGACUGUAGUAAAAGCUACAUGAUAGGCUAUGAUGAAAAAGAAAGGGAAACUGUGUUUUUCUAUCGAACUUUUUAUCGACCCGUUUUUUUUCUAUCGCACCACACGUCUAUCGAUCGAUAUAUAUUGUUAUCGAAUUAUCGUCCAGCACUAGUUGGAAUAGUUCUGUGGGCAUAGUGUGUCUCCAAAGCCACUAUGUUUUCUGCUGUUGUGACUAGAGAGCACCUUGAUAAGCUCAGUUGGUAGAGCAGUGGACUGUAAAAUGCUCCUUGUGUGAAACACUGUGAUCCUAAUGUUGCUGGUUCAACUCCAGCUCCAAGCACCUCCUUGUGAUUGGAAAUACCCCCAAGCCAUGUGUUUAUCAAUUAACUUCUCCAAAAUGUAAAAACACAAACAAGUUAACUCAUUCUUAAAUUUUCAACCAUCAAUUUUUUAUCCACCCAGCCUAAAAGUCCUGAUUAUUAGUUCUGGGUCCCUGGCAAUGACUGUUGGGUACAAACUGCAAAGCUUUGUUCUACAGGUAGGGCUUGGCUUUACAUUGACCAUGGGUUGGAAUAGUUCUGUGGGCAUAGUGUGUCUCCAAAGCCACUAUGUUUUGUGCUGUUGUGACUAGAGAGCACCUUGAUAGCUCAGUUGGUAGAGCGGUGGACUGUAAGAUGCUCCUUGUAUGAAACGCUGAGAUUCUAAGGUCGCUGGUUCAACUCCAGCUCCAAGCACCUCCUUGUCAUUGGAAAUACCCCCAAGCCUUGUCUUUAUCUGUCAACUCCUCCAAAAUGUAAAAACACAAACAAGAUAACUCUUUCUUAAAUUUUCAACCAUCAAUUUUUUAUUCACCCAGCCUAAAAGUCCUGAUUAUUAGUUCUGGGUACCUGACAAUGACUGUUGGGUACAAACUGCAAAGCUUUGUUCUACAGGUAGGGCUGGGCUUUUCAUUGACCAUGGGUUGGAAUAGUUCUGUGGGCAAAGUGUGUCUCCAAAGCCACUAUGUUUUGUGCUGUUGUGACUAUAGAGCACCUUGAUAGCUCAGUUGGUAGAGCGGUGGACUGUAAGAUGCUCCUUUGUGAAACGCUGUGAUCCCAAGGUCGCUGGUUCAACUCCAGCUCCAAGCACCUCCUUGUCAUUGGAAAUACCCCCAAGCCUUGUCUUUAUCUGUCAACUCCUCCAAAAUGUAAAAACACAAACAAGAUAACUCUUUCUUAAAUUUUCCACCAACAAUUUUUUAUCCACCCAGCCUAAACGUCCUGAUUAUUAGUUCUGGGUCCCUGGCAAUGACUGUUGGGUACAAACUGCAAAGCUUUGUUCUACAGGUAGGGCUGGGCUUUUCAUUGACCAUGGGUUGGAAUAGUUCUGUGGGCAUAGUGUGUCUCCAAAGCCACUAUGUUUUCUGCUGUUGUGACUAUAGAGCACCUUGAUAGCUCAGUUGGUAGAGCGGUGGACUGUAAGAUGCUCCUUGUGUGAAACGCUCUGAUCCUAAGGUCGCUGGUUCAACUCCAGCUCCAAGCACCUCCUUGUCAUUGGAAAUACCCCCAAGCCUUGUCUUUAUCUGUCAACCCCUUUCAAAAUGUAAAAACACAAACAAGAUAACUCUUUCUUAAAUUUUCAACCAUCAAUUUUUUAUUCACCCAGCCUAAAAGUCCUGAUUAUUAGUUCUGGGUCCCUGGCAAUGACUGUUGGUUACAAACUGCAAAGCUUUGUUCUACAGGUAGGGCUGGGCUUUUCAUUGACCAUGGGUUGGAAUAGUUCUGUGGGCAAAGUGUGUCUCCAAAGCCACUAUGUUUUCUGCUGUUGUGACUACAGAGCACCUUGAUAGCUCAGUUGGUAGAGCGGUGGACUGUAAGAUGCUCCUUGUGUGAAACGCUGUGAUCCCAAGGUCGCUGGUUCAACUCUAGCUCCAAGCACCUCCUUGUCAUUGGAAAUACCCCCAAGCCUUGUCUUUAUCUGUCAACUCCUCCAAAAUGUAAAAACACAAACAAGAUAACUCUUUCUUAAAUUUUCAACCAUCAAUUUUUUAUUCACCCAGCCUAAAAGUCCUGAUUAUUAGUUCUGGGUCCCUGGCUAUGACUGUUGGUUACAAACUGCAAAGCUUUGUUCUACAGGUAGGGCUGGGCUUUUCAUUGACCAUGGGUUGGAAUAGUUCUGUGGGCAUAGUGUGUCUCCAAAGCCACUAUGUUUUCUGCUGUUGUGAUUAGAGAGCACCUUGAUAAGCUCAGUUGGUAGAGCAGUGGACUGUAAGAUGCUCCUUGUGUGAAACACUGUGAUCCUAAUGUUGCUGGUUCAACUCCAGCUCCAAGCACCUCCUUGUGAUUGGAAAUACCCCCAAGCCAUGUGUUUAUCAAUUAACUCCUCCAAAAUGUAAAAACACAAACAAGUUAACUCAUUCUUAAAUUUUCAACCAUCAAUUUUUUAUCCACCCAGCCUAAAAGUCCUGAUUAUUAGUUCUGGGUCCCUGGCAAUGACUGUUGGGUACAAACUGCAAAGCUUUGUUCUACAGGUAGGGCUUGGCUUUUCAUUGACCAUGGGUUGGAAUAGUUCUGUGGGCAUAGUGUGUCUCCAAAGCCACUAUGUUUUGUGCUGUUGUGACUAGAGAGCACCUUGAUAGCUCAGUUGGUAGAGCAGUGGACUGUAAGAUGCUCCUUGUAUGAAACGCUGUGAUUCUAAGGUCGCUGGUUCAACUCCAGCUCCAAGCACCUCCUUGUCAUUGGAAAUACCCCCAAGCCUUGUCUUUAUCUGUCAACUCCUCCAAAAUGUAAAAACACAAACAAGAUAACUCUUUCUUAAAUUUUCAACCAUCAAUUUUUUAUUCACCCAGCCUAAAAGUCCUGAUUAUUAGUUCUGGGUCCCUGACAAUGACUGUUGGGUACAAACUGCAAAGCUUUGUUCUACAGGUAGGGCUGGGCUUUUCAUUGACCAUGGGUUGGAAUAGUUCUGUGGGCAAAGUGUGUCUCCAAAGCCACUAUGUUUUGUGCUGUUGUGACUAUAGAGCACCUUGAUAGCUCAGUUGGUAGAGCGGUGGACUGUAAGAUGCUCCUUGUGUGAAACGCUGUGAUCCCAAGGUCGCUGGUUCAACUCCAGCUCCAAGCACCUCCUUGUCAUUGGAAAUACCCCCAAGCCUUGUCUUUAUCUGUCAACUCCUCCAAAAUGUAAAAACACAAACAAGAUAACUCUUUCUUAAAUUUUCCACCAGCAAUUUUUUAUCCACCCAGCCUAAACGUCCUGAUUAUUAGUUCUGGGUCCCUGGCUAUGACUGUUGGGUACAAACUGCAAAGCUUUGUUCUACAGGUAGGGCUGGGCUUUUCAUUGACCAUGGGUUGGAAUAGUUCUGUGGGCAUAGUGUGUCUCCAAAGCCACUAUGUUUUCUGCUGUUGUGACUAUAGAGCACCUUGAUAGCUCAGUUGGUAGAGCGGUGGACUGUAAGAUGCUCCUUGUGUGAAACGCUGUGAUCCUAAGGUCGCUGGUUCAACUCCAGCUCCAAGCACCUCCUUGUCAUUGGAAAUACCCCCAAGCCUUGUCUUUAUCUGUCAACUCCUCCAAAAUGUAAAAACACAAACAACAUAACUCUUUCUUAAAUUUUCAACCACAAUUUUUUUUUCACCCAGCCUUAAAAGUUCUCAUUAUUAGUUCUGGGUCCCUGACAAUGACUGUUGGGUACAAACUGCAAAGCUUUGUUCUGCAGGUCGGGCUGGGCUUUUCAUUGACCAUGGGUUGGAAUAGUUCUGUGGGCAUAGUGUGUCUCCAAAGCCACUAUGUUUUGUGCUGUUGUGACUAGAGACCACCUUGAUAGCUCAGUUGGUAGAGCGGUGGACUGUUAGAUGCUCCUUGUGUGAAACGCUGUGAUCCUAAGUUCGCUGGUUCAACUCCAGCUCCAAGCACCUCCUUGUGAUUGGAAAUACCCCCAAGCCUUGUCUUUAUCUGUCAACUCCUCCAAAAUGUAAAAACACAAACAAGAUAACUCUUUCUUAAAUUUUCCACCAACAAUUUUUUAUCCACCCAGCCUAAACGUCCUGAUUAUUAGUUCUGGGUCCCUGGCUAUGACUGUUGGGUACAAACUGCAAAGCUUUGUUCUACAGGUAGGGCUGGGCCUUUCACUGACCAUGGGUUGGAAUAGUUCUGUGGGCAUAGUGUGUCUCCAAAGCCACUAUGUUUUGUGCUGUUGUGACUAGAGACCACCUUGAUAGCUCAGUUGGUAGAGCGGUGGACUGUUAGAUGCUCCUUGUGUGAAACGCUGUGAUCCUAAGUUCGCUGGUUCAACUCCAGCUCCAAGCACCUCCUUGUGAUUGGAAAUACCCCCAAGCCUUGUCUUUAUCUGUCAACUCCUCCAAAAUGUAAAAACACAAACAAGAUAACUCUUUCUUAAAUUUUCCACCAACAAUUUUUUAUCCACCCAGCCUAAACGUCCUGAUUAUUAGUUCUGGGUCCCUGGCUAUGACUGUUGGGUACAAACUGCAAAGCUUUGUUCUACAGGUAGGGCUGGGCUUUUCAUUGACCAUGGGUUGGAAUAGUUCUGUGGGCAAAGUGUGUCUCCAAAGCCACUAUGUUUUGUGCUGUUGUGACUAUAGAGCACCUUGAUAGCUCAGUUGGUAGAGCGGUGGACUGUAAGAUGCUCCUUGUGUGAAACGCUGUGAUCCCAAGGUCGCUGGUUCAACUCCAGCUCCAAGCACCUCCUUGUCAUUGGAAAUACCCCCAAGCCUUGUCUUUAUCUGUCAACUCCUCCAAAAUGUAAAAACACAAACAAGAUAACUCUUUCUUAAAUUUUCCACCAACAAUUUUUUAUCCACCCAGCCUAAACGUCCUGAUUAUUAGUUCUGGGUCCCUGGCUAUGACUGUUGGGUACAAACUGCAAAGCUUUGUUCUACAGGUAGGGCUGGGCUUUUCAUUGACCAUGGGUUGGAAUAGUUCUGUGGGCAUAGUGUGUCUCCAAAGCCACUAUGUUUUCUGCUGUUGUGACUAUAGAGCACCUUGAUAGCUCAGUUGGUAGAGCGGUGGACUGUAAGAUGCUCCUUGUGUGAAACGCUGUGAUCCUAAGGUCGCUGGUUCAACUCCAGCUCCAAGCACCUCCUUGUCAUUGGAAAUACCCCCAAGCCUUGUCUUUAUCUGUCAACUCCUCCAAAAUGUAAAAACACAAACAACAUAACUCUUUCUUAAAUUUUCAACCACAAUUUUUUUUUCACCCAGCCUUAAAAGUACUCAUUAUUAGUUCUGGGUCCCUGACAAUGACUGUUGGGUACAAACUGCAAAGCUUUGUUCUGCAGGUCGGGCUGGGCUUUUCAUUGACCAUGGGUUGGAAUAGUUCUGUGGGCAUAGUGUGUCUCCAAAGCCACUAUGUUUUGUGCUGUUGUGACUAGAGACCACCUUGAUAGCUCAGUUGGUAGAGCGGUGGACUGUUAGAUGCUCCUUGUGUGAAACGCUGUGAUCCUAAGUUCGCUGGUUCAACUCCAGCUCCAAGCACCUCCUUGUGAUUGGAAAUACCCCCAAGCCUUGUCUUUAUCUGUCAACUCCUCCAAAAUGUAAAAACACAAACAAGAUAACUCUUUCUUAAAUUUUCCACCAACAAUUUUUUAUCCACCCAGCCUAAACGUCCUGAUUAUUAGUUCUGGGUCCCUGGCUAUGACUGUUGGGUACAAACUGCAAAGCUUUGUUCUACAGGUAGGGCUGGGCCUUUCACUGACCAUGGGUUGGAAUAGUUCUGUGGGCAUAGUGUGUCUCCAAAGCCACUAUGUUUUGUGCUGUUGUGACUAGAGACCACCUUGAUAGCUCAGUUGGUAGAGCGGUGGACUGUUAGAUGCUCCUUGUGUGAAACGCUGUGAUCCUAAGUUCGCUGGUUCAACUCCAGCUCCAAGCACCUCCUUGUGAUUGGAAAUACCCCCAAGCCUUGUCUUUAUCUGUCAACUCCUCCAAAAUGUAAAAACACAAACAAGAUAACUCUUUCUUAAAUUUUCCACCAACAAUUUUUUAUCCACCCAGCCUAAACGUCCUGAUUAUUAGUUCUGGGUCCCUGGCUAUGACUGUUGGGUACAAACUGCAAAGCUUUGUUCUACAGGUAGGGCUGGGCCUUUCACUGACCAUGGGUUGGAAUAGUUUGUGGGCAAAGUGUGUCUCCAAAGCCACUAUGUUUUCUGCUGUUGUGACUAGAGAGCACCUUGAUAAGCUCAGUUGGUAGAGCAGUGGACUGUAAGAUGCUCCUUGUGUGAAACGCUGUCAUCCCAAGGUCGCUGGUUCAACUCCAGCUCCAAGCACCUCCUUGUGAUUGGAAAUACCCCCAAGCCUUGUCUUUAUCUGUCAACUCCUCCAAAAUGUAAAAACACAAACAAGAUAACUCUUUCUUAAAUUUUCCACCAACAAUUUUUUAUCCACCCAGCCUAAAAGUCCUGAUUAUUUGUUCUGGGUCCCUGGCAAUGACUGUUGGGUACAAACUGCAAAGCUUUGUUCUACAGGUAGGGCUGGGCUUUUCAUUGACCAUGGGUUGGAAUAGUUCUGUGGGCAAAGUGUGUCUCCAAAGCCACUAUGUUUUCUGCUGUUGUGACUAGAGAGCACCUUCAUAAGCUCAGUUGGUAGAGCAGUGGACUGUAAGAUGCUCCUUGUGUGAAACGCUCUGAUCCUAAGGUCGCUGGUUCAACUCCAGCUCCAAGCACCUCCUUGUCAUUGGAAAUACCCCCAAGCCUUGUCUUUAUCUGUCAACCCCUUUCAAAAUGUAAAAACACAAACAAGAUAACUCUUUCUUAAAUUUUCAACCAUCAAUUUUUUAUUCACCCAGCCUAAAAGUCCUGAUUAUUAGUUCUGGGUCCCUGGCAAUGACUGUUGGUUACAAACUGCAAAGCUUUGUUCUACAGGUAGGGCUGGGCUUUUCAUUGACCAUGGGUUGGAAUAGUUCUGUGGGCAAAGUGUGUCUCCAAAGCCACUAUGUUUUCUGCUGUUGCGACUAGAGAGCACCUUGAUAGCUCAGUUGGUAGAGAGGUGGACUGUAAGAUGCUCCUUGUGGGAAACGCUGUGAUCCCAAGGUCGCUGGUUCAACUCCAGCUCCAAGCACCUCCUUGUCAUUGGAAAUACCCCCAAGCCUUGUCUUUAUCUGUCAACUCCUCCAAAAUGUAAAAACACAAACAAGAUAACUCUUUCUUAAAUUUUCCACCAACAAUUUUUUAUCCACCCAGCCUAAACGUCCUGAUUAUUAGUUCUGGGUCCCUGGCUAUGACUGUUGGGUACAAACUGCAAAGCUUUGUUCUACAGGUAGGGCUGGGCUUUUCAUUGACCAUGGGUUGGAAUAGUUCUGUGGGCAUAGUGUGUCUCCAAAGCCACUAUGUUUUCUGCUGUUGUGACUAUAGAGCACCUUGAUAAGCUCAGUUGGUAGAGCAGUGGACUGUAAGAUGCUCCUUGUGUGAAACACUGUGAUCCUAAUGUUGCUGGUUCAACUCCAGCUCCAAGCACCUCCUUGUGAUUGGAAAUACCCCCAAGCCUUGUCUUUAUCAAUCAACUCCUCCAAAAUGUAAAAACACAAACAAGAUAACUCUUCUUUAAAUUUUCAACCACAAUUUUUUUUUCACCCAGCCUUAAAAGUUCUCAUUAUUAGUUCUGGGUCCCUGACAAUGACUGUUGGGUACAAACUGCAAAGCUUUGUUCUGCAGGUCGGGCUGGGCUUUUCAUUGACCAUGGGUUGGAAUAGUUCUGUGGGCAUAGUGUGUCUCCAAAGCCACUAUGUUUUGUGCUGUUGUGACUAGAGACCACCUUGAUAGCUCAGUUGGUAGAGCGGUGGACUGUUAGAUGCUCCUUGUGUGAAACGCUGUGAUCCUAAGGUCGCUGGUUCAACUCCAGCUCCAAGCACCUCCUUGUCAUUGGAAAUACCCCCAAGCCUUGUCUUUAUCUGUCAACUCCUCCAAAAUGUAAAAACACAAACAAGAUAACUCUUUCUUAAAUUUUCAACCAUCAAUUUUUUAUUCACCCAGCCUAAAAGUCCUGAUUAUUAGUUCUGGGUCCCUGGCUAUGACUGUUGGGUACAAACUGCAAAGCUUUGUUCUACAGGUAGGGCUGGGCUUUUCAUUGACCAUGGGUUGGAAUAGUUCUGUGGGAAUAGUGUUUCUCCAAAGCCACUAUGUUUUCUGCUGUUGUGACUAUAGAGCACCUUGAUAAGCUCAGUUGGUAGAGCAGUGGACUGUAAGAUGCUCCUUGUGUGAAACGCUGUGAUCCCAAGGUCGCUGGUUCAACUCCAGCUCCAAGCACCUCCUUGUGAUUGGAAAUACCCCAAAGCCUUGUCUUUAUCUGUCAACUCCUCCAAAAUGUAAAAACACAAACAAGAUAACUCUUUCUUUAAUUUUCAACCAUCAAUUUUUUAUUCACCCAGCCUAAAAGUCCUGAUUAUUAGUUCUGGGUCCCUGGCAAUGACUGUUGGGUACAAACUGCAAAGCUUUGUUCUACAGGUAGGGCUGGGCCUUUCAUUGACCAUGGGUUGGAAUAGUUCUGUGGGCAAAGUGUGUCUCCAAAGCCACUAUGUUUUCUGCUGUUGUGACUAUAGAGCACCUUGAUAGCUCAGUUGGUAGAGCGGUGGACUGUAAGAUGCUCCUUGUAUGAAGCGCUGUGAUUCUAAGGUCGCUGGUUUAACUCCAGCUCCAAGCACCUCCUUGUCAUUGGAAAUACCCCCAAGCCUUGUCUUUAUCUGUCAACUCCUCCAAAAUGUAAAAACACAAACAAGAUAACUCUUUCUUAAAUUUUCAACCAUCAAUUUUUUAUUCACCCAGCCUAAAAGUCCUGAUUAUUAGUUCUGGGUCCCUGGCAAUGACUGUUGGUUACAAACUGCAAAGCUUUGUUCUACAGGUAGGGCUGGGCCUUUCAUUGACCAUGGGUUGGAAUAGUUCUGUGGGCAAAGUGUGUCUCCAAAGCCACUAUGUUUUCUGCUGUUGUGACUAGAGAGCACCUUGAUAGCUCAGUUGGUAGAGCAGUGGACUGUAAGAUGCUCUUUGUGUGAAACGCUGUGAUCCCAAGGUCGCUGGUUCAGCUCCAGCUUCAAGCACCUCCUUGUCAUUGGAAAUACCCCCAAGCCUUGUCUUUAUCUGUCAACUCCUCCAAAAUGUAAAAACACAAACAAGAUAACUCUUUCUUAAAUUUUCCACCAACAAUUUUUUAUCCACCCAGCCUAAAAGUCCUGAUUAUUUGUUCUGGGUCCCUGGCAAUGACGGUUGGGUACAAACUGCAAAGCUUUGUUCUACAGGUAGGGCUGGGCUUUUCAUUGACCAUGGGUUGGAAUAGUUCUGUGGGCAUAGUGUGUCUCCAAAGCCACUAUGUUUUCUGCUGUUGUGACUAUAGAGCACCUUGAUAGCUCAGUUGGUAGAGCAGUGGACUGUAAGAUGCUCCUUGUGUGAAACGCUCUGAUCCUAAGGUCGCUGGUUCAACUCCAGCUCCAAGCACCUCCUUGUCAUUGGAAAUACCCCCAAGCCUUGUCUUUAUCUGUCAACCCCUUUCAAAAUGUAAAAACACAAACAAGAUAACUCUUUCUUAAAUUUUCAACCAUCAAUUUUUUAUUCACCCAGCCUAAAAGUCCUGAUUAUUAGUUCUGGGUCCCUGGCAAUGACUGUUGGUUACAAACUGCAAAGCUUUGUUCUACAGGUAGGGCUGGGCUUUUCAUUGACCAUGGGUUGCAAUAGUUCUGUGGGCAAAGUGUGUCUCCAAAGCCACUAUGUUUUCUGCUGUUGUGACUACAGAGCACCUUGAUAGCUCAGUUGGUAGAGCGGUGGACUGUAAGAUGCUCCUUGUGUGAAACGCUGUGAUCCCAAGGUCGCUGGUUCAACUCCAGCUCCAUGCACCUCCUUGUCAUUGGAAAUACCCCCAAGCCUUGUCUUUAUCUGUCAACUCCUCCAAAAUGUAAAAACACAAACAAGAUAACUCUUUCUUAAAUUUUCAACCAUCAAUUUUUUAUUCACCCAGCCUAAAAGUCCUGAUUAUUAGUUCUGGGUCCCUGGCUAUGACUGUUGGGUACAAACUGCAAAGCUUUGUUCUACAGGUAGGGCUGGGCUUUUCAUUGACCAUGGGUUGGAAUAGUUCUGUGGGCAUAGUGUGUCUCCAAAGCCACUAUGUUUUCUGCUGUUGUGAUUAGAGAGCACCUUGAUAAGCUCAGUUGGUAGAGCAGUGGACUGUAAGAUGCUCCUUGUGUGAAACACUGUGAUCCUAAUGUUGCUGGUUCAACUCCAGCUCCAAGCACCUCCUUGUGAUUGGAAAUACCCCCAAGCCAUGUGUUUAUCAAUUAACUCCUCCAAAAUGUAAAAACACAAACAAGUUAACUCAUUCUUAAAUUUUCAACCAUCAAUUUUUUAUCCACCCAGCCUAAAAGUCCUGAUUAUUAGUUCUGGGUCCCUGGCAAUGACUGUUGGGUACAAACUGCAAAGCUUUGUUCUACAGGUAGGGCUUGGCUUUUCAUUGACCAUGGGUUGGAAUAGUUCUGUGGGCAUAGUGUGUCUCCAAAGCCACUAUGUUUUGUGCUGUUGUGACUAGAGAACACCUUGAUAGCUCAGUUGGUAGAGCAGUGAACUGUAAGAUGCUCCUUGUAUGAAACGCUGUGAUCCUAAGGUCGCUGGUUCAACUCCAGCUCCAAGCACCUCCUUGUCAUUGGAAAUACCCCCAAGCCUUGUCUUUAUCUGUCAACUCCUCCAAAAUGUAAAAACACAAACAAGAUAACUCUUUCUUAAAUUUUCAACCAUCAAUUUUUUAUUCACCCAGCCUAAAAGUCCUGAUUAUUAGUUCUGGGUCCCUGACAAUGACUGUUGGGUACAAACUGCAAAGCUUUGUUCUACAGGUAGGGCUGGGCUUUUCAUUGACCAUGGGUUGGAAUAGUUCUGUGGGCAAAGUGUGUCUCCAAAGCCACUAUGUUUUGUGCUGUUGUGACUAUAGAGCACCUUGAUAGCUCAGUUGGUAGAGCGGUGGACUGUAAGAUGCUCCUUGUGUGAAACGCUGUGAUCCCAAGGUCGCUGGUUCAACUCCAGCUCCAAGCACCUCCUUGUCAUUGGAAAUACCCCAAGCCUUGUCUUUAUCUGUCAACUCCUCCAAAAUGUAAAAACACAAACAAGAUAACUCUUUCUUAAAUUUUCCACCAACAAUUUUUUAUCCACCCAGCCUAAACGUCCUGAUUAUUAGUUCUGGGUCCCUGGCUAUGACUGUUGGGUACAAACUGCAAAGCUUUGUUCUACAGGUAGGGCUGGGCUUUUCAUUGACCAUGGGUUGGAAUAGUUCUGUGGGCAUAGUGUGUCUCCAAAGCCACUAUGUUUUCUGCUGUUGUGACUAGAGAGCACCUUGAUAGCUCAGUUGGUAGAGCGGUGGACUGUAAGAUGCUCCUUGUGUGAAACGCUGUGAUCCUAAGGUCGCUGGUUCAACUCCAGCUCCAAGCACCUCCUUGUCAUUGGAAAUACCCCCAAGCCUUGUCUUUAUCUGUCAACUCCUCCAAAAUGUAAAAACACAAACAAGAUAACUCUUUCUUAAAUUUUCAAACACAAUUUUUUUUUUUCACCCAGCCUUAAAAGUUCUCAUUAUUAGUUCUGGGUCCCUGACAAUGACUGUUGGGUACAAACUGCAAAGCUUUGUUCUGCAGGUCGGGCUGGGCUUUUCAUUGACCAUGGGUUGGAAUAGUUCUGUGGGCAUAGUGUGUCUCCAAAGCCACUAUGUUUUGUGCUGUUGUGACUAGAGACCACCUUGAAAGCUCAGUUGGUAGAGCGGUGGACUGUAAGAUGCUCCUUGUAUGAAACGCUGUGAUUCUAAGGUCGCUGGUUCAACUCCAGCUCCAAGCACCUCCUUGUCAUUGGAAAAACCCCCAAGCCUUGUCUUUAUCUGUCAACUCCUCCAAAAUGUAAAAACACAAACAAGAUAACUCUUUCUUAAAUUUUCAACCAUCAAUUUUUUAUUCACCCAGCCUAAAAGUCCUGAUUAUUAGUUCUGGGUCCCUGACAAUGACUGUUGGGUACAAACUGCAAAGCUUUGUUCUACAGGUAGGGCUGGGCUUUUCAUUGACCAUGGGUUGGAAUAGUUCUGUGGGCAAAGUGUGUCUCCAAAGCCACUAUGUUUUGUGCUGUUGUGACUAUAGAGCACCUUGAUAGCUCAGUUGGUAGAGCGGUGGACUGUAAGAUGCUCCUUGUGUGAAACGCUGUGAUCCCAAGGUCGCUGGUUCAACUCCAGCUCCAAGCACCUCCUUGUCAUUGGAAAUACCCCCAAGCCUUGUCUUUAUCUGUCAACCCCUUUCAAAAUGUAAAAACACAAACAAGAUAACUUUUUCUUAAAUUUUCAACCAUCAAUUUUUUAUUCACCCAGCCUAAAAGUCCUGAUUAUUAGUUCUGGGUCCCUGGCAAUGACUGUUGGUUACAAACUGCAAAGCUUUGUUCUACAGGUAGGGCUGGGCUUUUCAUUGACCAUGGGUUGGAAUAGUUCUGUGGGCAAAGUGUGUCUCCAAAGCCACUAUGUUUUCUGCUGUUGUGACUACAGAGCACCUUGAUAGCUCAGUUGGUAGAGCGGUGGACUGUAAGAUGCUCCUUGUGUGAAACGCUGUGAUCCCAAGGUCGCUUGUUCAACUCCAGCUCCAAGCACCUCCUUGUCAUUGGAAAUACCCCCAAGCCUUGUCUUUAUCUGUCAACUCCUCCAAAAUGUAAAAACACAAACAAGAUAACUCUUUCUUAAAUUUUCAACCAUCAAUUUUUUAUUCACCCAGCCUAAAAGUCCUGAUUAUUAGUUCUGGGUCCCUGGCUAUGACUGUUGGGUACAAACUGCAAAGCUUUGUUCUACAGGUAGGGCUGGGCUUUUCAUUGACCAUGGGUUGGAAUAGUUCUGUGGGCAUAGUGUGUCUCCAAAGCCACUAUGUUUUCUGCUGUUGUGACUAUAGAGCACCUUGAUAAGCUCAGUUGGUAGAGCAGUGGACUGUAAGAUGCUCCUUGUGUGAAACACUGUGAUCCUAAUGUUGCUGGUUCAACUCCAGCUCCAAGCACCUCCUUGUGAUUGGAAAUACCCCCUAGCCAUGUGUUUAUCAAUUAACUUCUCCAAAAUCUAAAAACACAAACAAGAUAACUCUUUCUUAAAUUUUCAACCAUCAAUUUUUUAUUCACCCAGCCUAAAAGUCCUGAUUAUUAGUUCUGGGUCCCUGGCAAUGACUUUUGGGUACAAACUGCAAAGCUUUGUUCUACAGGUAGGGCUUGGCUUUUCAUUGACCAUGGGUUGGAAUAGUUCUGUGGGCAUAGUGUGUCUCCAAAGCCACUAUGUUUUGUGCUGUUGUGACUAGAGAGCACCUUGAUAGCUCAGUUGGUAGAGCGGUGGACUGUAAGAUGCUCCUUGUAUGAAACGCUGUGAUUCUAAGGUCGCUGGUUCAACUCCAGCUCCAAGCACCUCCUUGUCAUUGGAAAUACCCCCAAGCCUUGUCUUUAUCUGUCAACUCCUCCAAAAUGUAAAAACACAAACAAGAUAACUCUUUCUUAAAUUUUCAACCAUCAAUUUUUUAUUCACCCAGCCUAAAAGUCCUGAUUAUUAGUUCUGGGUCCCUGGCUAUGACUGUUGGGUACAAACUGCAAAGCUUUGUUCUACAGGUAGGGCUGGGCUUUUCAUUGACCAUGGGUUGGAAUAGUUCUGUGGGCAUAGUGUGUCUCCAAAGCCACUAUGUUUUCUGCUGUUGUGACUAUAGAGCACCUUGAUAAGCUCAGUUGGUAGAGCAGUGGACUGUAAGAUGCUCCUUGUGUGAAACACUGUGAUCCUAAUGUUGCUGGUUCAACUCCAGCUCCAAGCACCUCCUUGUGAUUGGAAAUACCCCCUAGCCAUGUGUUUAUCAAUUAACUUCUCCAAAAUCUAAAAACACAAACAAGAUAACUCUUUCUUAAAUUUUCAACCAUCAAUUUUUUAUUCACCCAGCCUAAAAGUCCUGAUUAUUAGUUCUGGGUCCCUGGCAAUGACUUUUGGGUACAAACUGCAAAGCUUUGUUCUACAGGUAGGGCUUGGCUUUUCAUUGACCAUGGGUUGGAAUAGUUCUGUGGGCAUAGUGUGUCUCCAAAGCCACUAUGUUUUGUGCUGUUGUGACUAUAGAGCACCUUGAUAGCUCAGUUGGUAGAGCGGUGGACUGUAAGAUGCUCCUUGUAUGAAACGCUGUGAUUCUAAGGUCGCUGGUUCAACUCCAGCUCCAAGCACCUCCUUGUCAUUGGAAAUACCCCCAAGCCUUGUCUUUAUCUGUCAACUCCUCCAAAAUGUAAAAACACAAACAAGAUAACUCUUUCUUAAAUUUUCAACCAUCAAUUUUUUAUUCACCCAGCCUAAAAGUCCUGAUUAUUAGUUCUGGGUACCUGACAAUGACUGUUGGGUACAAACUGCAAAGCUUUGUUCUACAGGUAGGGCUGGGCUUUUCAUUGACCAUGGGUUGGAAUAGUUCUGUGGGCAAAGUGUGUCUCCAAAGCCACUAUGUUUUGUGCUGUUGUGACUAUAGAGCACCUUGAUAGCUCAGUUGGUAGAGCGGUGGACUGUAAGAUGCUCCUUGUGUGAAACGCUGUGAUCCCAAGGUCGCUGGUUCAACUCCAGCUCCAAGCACCUCCUUGUCAUUGGAAAUACCCCCAAGCCUUGUCUUUAUCUGUCAACUCCUCCAAAAUGUAAAAACACAAACAAGAUAACUCUUUCUUAAAUUUUCCACCAACAAUUUUUUAUCCACCCAGCCUAAACGUCCUGAUUAUUAGUUCUGGGUCCCUGGCAAUGACUGUUGGGUACAAACUGCAAAGCUUUGUUCUACAGGUAGGGCUGGGCUUUUCAUUGACCAUGGGUUGGAAUAGUUCUGUGGGCAUAGUGUGUCUCCAAAGCCACUAUGUUUUCUGCUGUUGUGACUAUAGAGCACCUUGAUAGCUCAGUUGGUAGAGCGGUGGACUGUAAGAUGCUCCUUGUGUGAAACGCUCUGAUCCUAAGGUCGCUGGUUCAACUCCAGCUCCAAGCACCUCCUUGUCAUUGGAAAUACCCCCAAGCCUUGUCUUUAUCUGUCAACCCCUUUCAAAAUGUAAAAACACAAACAAGAUAACUCUUUCUUAAAUUUUCAACCAUCAAUUUUUUAUUCACCCAGCCUAAAAGUCCUGAUUAUUAGUUCUGGGUCCCUGGCAAUGACUGUUGGUUACAAACUGCAAAGCUUUGUUCUACAGGUAGGGCUGGGCUUUUCAUUGACCAUGGGUUGGAAUAGUUCUGUGGGCAAAGUGUGUCUCCAAAGUCACUAUGUUUUCUGCUGUUGUGACUAUAGAGCACCUUGAUAGCUCAGUUGGUACAGCGGUGGACUGUUAGAUGCUCCUUGUGUGAAACGCUGUGAUCCUAAGGUCGCUGGUUCAACUCCAGCUCCAAGCACCUCCUUGUGAUUGGAAAUACCCCCAAGCCUUGUCUUUAUCUGUCAACUCCUCCAAAAUGUAAAAACACAAACAAGAUAACUCUUUCUUAAAUUUUCCACCAACAAUUUUUUAUCCACCCAGCCUAAACGUCCUGAUUAUUAGUUCUGGGUCCCUGGCUAUGACUGUUGGGUACAAACUGCAAAGCUUUGUUCUACAGAUAGGGCUGGGCCUUUCAUUGACCAUGGGUUGGAAUAGUUCUGUGGGCAAAGUGUGUCUCCAAAGCCACUAUGUUUUCUGCUGUUGUGACUAGAGAGCACCUUGAUAGCUCAGUUGGUAGAGCAGUGGACUGUAAGAUGCUCCUUGUGUGAAACGCUGUGAUCCCAAGGUCGCUGGUUCAACUCCAGCUCCAAGCACCUCCUUGUCAUUGGAAAUACCCCCAAGCCUUGUCUUUAUCUGUCAACUCCUCCAAAAUGUAAAAACACAAACAAGAUAACUCUUUCUUAAAUUUUCAACCAUCAAUUUUUUAUUCACCCAGCCUAAAAGUCCUGAUUAUUAGUUCUGGGUCCCUGGCUAUGACUGUUGGGUACAAACUGCAAAGCUUUGUUCUACAGGUAGGGCUGGGCUUUUCAUUGACCAUGGGUUGGAAUAGUUCUGUGGGCAUAGUGUGUCUCCAAAGCCACUAUGUUUUCUGCUGUUGUGAUUAGAGAGCACCUUGAUAAGCUCAGUUGGUAGAGCGGUGGACUGUAAGAUGCUCCUUGUGUGAAACACUGUGAUCCUAAUGUUGCUGGUUCAACUCCAGCUCCAAGCACCUCCUUGUGAUUGGAAAUACCCCCAAGCCAUGUGUUUAUCAAUUAACUCCUCCAAAAUGUAAAAACACAAACAAGUUAACUCAUUCUUAAAUUUUCAACCAUCAAUUUUUUAUCCACCCAGCCUAAAAGUCCUGAUUAUUAGUUCUGGGUCCCUGGCAAUGACUGUUGGGUACAAACUGCAAAGCUUUGUUCUACAGGUAGGGCUUGGCUUUUCAUUGACCAUGGGUUGGAAUAGUUCUGUGGGCAUAGUGUGUCUCCAAAGCCACUAUGUUUUGUGCUGUUGUGACUAGAGAGCACCUUGAUAGCUCAGUUGGUAGAGCAGUGGACUGUAAGAUGCUCCUUGUAUGAAACGCUGUGAUUCUAAGGUCGCUGGUUCAACUCCAGCUCCAAGCACCUCCUUGUCAUUGUAAAUACCCCCAAGCCUUGUCUUUAUCUGUCAACUCCUCCAAAAUGUAAAAACACAAACAAGAUAACUCUUUCUUAAAUUUUCAACCAUCAAUUUUUUAUUCACCCAGCCUAAAAGUCCUGAUUAUUAGUUCUGGGUCCCUGACAAUGACUGUUGGGUACAAACUGCAAAGCUUUGUUCUACAGGUAGGGCUGGGCUUUUCAUUGACCAUGGGUUGGAAUAGUUCUGUGGGCAAAGUGUGUCUCCAAAGCCACUAUGUUUUGUGCUGUUGUGACUAUAGAGCACCUUGAUAGCUCAGUUGGUAGAGCGGUGGACUGUAAGAUGGUCCUUGUGUGAAACGCUGUGAUCCCAAGGUCGCUGGUUCAACUCCAGCUCCAAGCACCUCCUUGUCAUUGGAAAUACCCCCAAGCCUUGUCUUUAUCUGUCAACUCCUCCAAAAUGUAAAAACACAAACAAGAUAACUCUUUCUUAAAUUUUCCACCACAAUUUUUUUUUCACCCAGCCUUAAAAGUUCUCAUUAUUAGUUCUGGGUCCCUGACAAUGACUGUUGGGUACAAACUGCAAAGCUUUGUUCUGCAGGUCGGGCUGGGCUUUUCAUUGACCAUGGGUUGGAAUAGUUCUGUGGGCAUAGUGUGUCUCCAAAGCCACUAUGUUUUGUGCUGUUGUGACUAGAGAGCACCUUGAUAGCUCAGUUGGUACAGCGGUGGACUGUUAGAUGCUCCUUGUGUGAAACGCUGUGAUCCUAAGGUCGCUGGUUCAACUCCAGCUCCAAGCACCUCCUUGUGAUUGGAAAUACCCCCAAGCCUUGUCUUUAUCUGUCAACUCCUCCAAAAUGUAAAAACACAAACAAGAUAACUCUUUCUUAAAUUUUCCACCAACAAUUUUUUAUCCACCCAGCCUAAAAGUCCUGAUUAUUUGUUCUGGGUCCCUGGCAAUGACUGUUGGGUACAAACUGCAAAGCUUUGUUCUACAGGUAGGGCUGGGCUUUUCAUUGACCAUGGGUUGGAAUAGUUCUGUGGGCAAAGUGUGUCUCCAAAGCCACUAUGUUUUCUGCUGUUGUGACUAGAGAGCACCUUGAUAAGCUCAGUUGGUAGAGCAGUGGACUGUAAGAUGCUCCUUGUGUGAAACGCUGUGAUCCCAAGGUCGCUGGUUCAACUCCAGCUCCAAGCACCUCCUUGUGAUUAGAAAUACCCCCAAGCCUUGUCUUUAUCUGUCAACUCCUCCAAAAUGUAAAAACACAAACAAGAUAACUCUUUCUUAAAUUUUCCACCAACAAUUUUUUAUCCACCCAGCCUAAAAGUCCUGAUUAUUAGUUCUGGGUCCCUGGCAAUGACUGUUGGUUACAAACUGCAAAGCUUUGUUCUACAGGUAGGGCUGGGCUUUUCAUUGACCAUGGGUUGGAAUAGUUCUGUGGGCAAAGUGUGUCUCCAAAGCCACUAUGUUUUCUGCUGUUGUGACUAUAGAGCACCUUGAUAGCUCAGUUGGUACAGCGGUGGACUGUUAGAUGCUCCUUGUGUGAAACGCUGUGAUCCUAAGGUCGCUGGUUCAACUCCAGCUCCAAGCACCUCCUUGUGAUUGGAAAUACCCCCAAGCCUUGUCUUUAUCUGUCAACUCCUCCAAAAUGUAAAAACACAAACAAGAUAACUCUUUCUUAAAUUUUCCACCAACAAUUUUUUAUCCACCCAGCCUAAACGUCCUGAUUAUUAGUUCUGGGUCCCUGGCUAUGACUGUUGGGUACAAACUGCAAAGCUUUGUUCUACAGAUAGGGCUGGGCCUUUCAUUGACCAUGGGUUGGAAUAGUUCUGUGGGCAAAGUGUGUCUCCAAAGCCACUAUGUUUUCUGCUGUUGUGACUAGAGAGCACCUUGAUAGCUCAGUUGGUAGAGCAGUGGACUGUAAGAUGCUCCUUGUGUGAAACGCUGUGAUCCCAAGGUCGCUGGUUCAACUCCAGCUCCAAGCACCUCCUUGUCAUUGGAAAUACCCCCAAGCCUUGUCUUUAUCUGUCAACUCCUCCAAAAUGUAAAAACACAAACAAGAUAACUCUUUCUUAAAUUUUCAACCAUCAAUUUUUUAUUCACCCAGCCUAAAAGUCCUGAUUAUUAGUUCUGGGUCCCUGGCUAUGACUGUUGGGUACAAACUGCAAAGCUUUGUUCUACAGGUAGGGCUGGGCUUUUCAUUGACCAUGGGUUGGAAUAGUUCUGUGGGCAUAGUGUGUCUCCAAAGCCACUAUGUUUUCUGCUGUUGUGAUUAGAGAGCACCUUGAUAAGCUCAGUUGGUAGAGCGGUGGACUGUAAGAUGCUCCUUGUGUGAAACACUGUGAUCCUAAUGUUGCUGGUUCAACUCCAGCUCCAAGCACCUCCUUGUGAUUGGAAAUACCCCCAAGCCAUGUGUUUAUCAAUUAACUCCUCCAAAAUGUAAAAACACAAACAAGUUAACUCAUUCUUAAAUUUUCAACCAUCAAUUUUUUAUCCACCCAGCCUAAAAGUCCUGAUUAUUAGUUCUGGGUCCCUGGCAAUGACUGUUGGGUACAAACUGCAAAGCUUUGUUCUACAGGUAGGGCUUGGCUUUUCAUUGACCAUGGGUUGGAAUAGUUCUGUGGGCAUAGUGUGUCUCCAAAGCCACUAUGUUUUGUGCUGUUGUGACUAGAGAGCACCUUGAUAGCUCAGUUGGUAGAGCAGUGGACUGUAAGAUGCUCCUUGUAUGAAACGCUGUGAUUCUAAGGUCGCUGGUUCAACUCCAGCUCCAAGCACCUCCUUGUCAUUGUAAAUACCCCCAAGCCUUGUCUUUAUCUGUCAACUCCUCCAAAAUGUAAAAACACAAACAAGAUAACUCUUUCUUAAAUUUUCAACCAUCAAUUUUUUAUUCACCCAGCCUAAAAGUCCUGAUUAUUAGUUCUGGGUCCCUGACAAUGACUGUUGGGUACAAACUGCAAAGCUUUGUUCUACAGGUAGGGCUGGGCUUUUCAUUGACCAUGGGUUGGAAUAGUUCUGUGGGCAAAGUGUGUCUCCAAAGCCACUAUGUUUUGUGCUGUUGUGACUAUAGAGCACCUUGAUAGCUCAGUUGGUAGAGCGGUGGACUGUAAGAUGGUCCUUGUGUGAAACGCUGUGAUCCCAAGGUCGCUGGUUCAACUCCAGCUCCAAGCACCUCCUUGUCAUUGGAAAUACCCCCAAGCCUUGUCUUUAUCUGUCAACUCCUCCAAAAUGUAAAAACACAAACAAGAUAACUCUUUCUUAAAUUUUCCACCACAAUUUUUUUUUCACCCAGCCUUAAAAGUUCUCAUUAUUAGUUCUGGGUCCCUGACAAUGACUGUUGGGUACAAACUGCAAAGCUUUGUUCUGCAGGUCGGGCUGGGCUUUUCAUUGACCAUGGGUUGGAAUAGUUCUGUGGGCAUAGUGUGUCUCCAAAGCCACUAUGUUUUGUGCUGUUGUGACUACAGAGCACCUUGAUAGCUCAGUUGGUAGAGCGGUGGACUGUUAGAUGCUCCUUGUGUGAAACGCUGUGAUCCUAAGGUCGCUGGUUCAACUCCAGCUCCAAGCACCUCCUUGUGAUUGGAAAUACCCCCAAGCCUUGUCUUUAUCUGUCAACUCCUCCAAAAUGUAAAAACACAAACAAGAUAACUCUUUCUUAAAUUUUCCACCAACAAUUUUUUAUCCACCCAGCCUAAAAGUCCUGAUUAUUUGUUCUGGGUCCCUGGCAAUGACUGUUGGGUACAAACUGCAAAGCUUUGUUCUACAGGUAGGGCUGGGCUUUUCAUUGACCAUGGGUUGGAAUAGUUCUGUGGGCAAAGUGUGUCUCCAAAGCCACUAUGUUUUCUGCUGUUGUGACUAGAGAGCACCUUGAUAAGCUCAGUUGGUAGAGCAGUGGACUGUAAGAUGCUCCUUGUGUGAAACGCUGUGAUCCCAAGGUCGCUGGUUCAACUCCAGCUCCAAGCACCUCCUUGUGAUUAGAAAUACCCCCAAGCCUUGUCUUUAUCUGUCAACUCCUCCAAAAUGUAAAAACACAAAAAAGAUAACUCUUUCUUAAAUUUUCCACCAACAAUUUUUUAUCCACCCAGCCUAAAAGUCCUGAUUAUUAGUUCUGGGUCCCUGGCAAUGACUGUUGGGUACAAACUGCAAAGCUUUGUUCUACAGGUAGGGCUGGGCUUUUCAUUGACCAUGGGUUGGAAUAGUUCUGUGGGCAAAGUGUGUCUCCAAAGCCACUAUGUUUUCUGCUGUUGUGACUAGAGAGCACCUUGAUAAGCUCAGUUGGUAGAGCAGUGGACUGUAAGAUGCUCCUUGUGUGAAACGCUCUGAUCCUAAGGUCGCUGGUUCAACUCCAGCUCCAAGCACCUCCUUGUCAUUGGAAAUACCCCCAAGCCUUGUCUUUAUCUGUCAACCCCUUUCAAAAUGUAAAAACACAAACAAGAUAACUCUUUCUUAAAUUUUCAACCAUCAAUUUUUUAUUCACCCAGCCUAAAAGUCCUGAUUAUUAGUUCUGGGUCCCUGGCAAUGACUGUUGGUUACAAACUGCAAAGCUUUGUUCUACAGGUAGGGCUGGGCUUUUCAUUGACCAUGGGUUGGAAUAGUUCUGUGGGCAAAGUGUGUCUCCAAAGUCACUAUGUUUUCUGCUGUUGUGACUAUAGAGCACCUUGAUAGCUCAGUUGGUACAGCGGUGGACUGUUAGAUGCUCCUUGUGUGAAACGCUGUGAUCCUAAGGUCGCUGGUUCAACUCCAGCUCCAAGCACCUCCUUGUGAUUGGAAAUACCCCCAAGCCUUGUCUUUAUCUGUCAACUCCUCCAAAAUGUAAAAACACAAACAAGAUAACUCUUUCUUAAAUUUUCCACCAACAAUUUUUUAUCCACCCAGCCUAAACGUCCUGAUUAUUAGUUCUGGGUCCCUGGCUAUGACUGUUGGGUACAAACUGCAAAGCUUUGUUCUACAGAUAGGGCUGGGCCUUUCAUUGACCAUGGGUUGGAAUAGUUCUGUGGGCAAAGUGUGUCUCCAAAGCCACUAUGUUUUCUGCUGUUGUGACUAGAGAGCACCUUGAUAGCUCAGUUGGUAGAGCAGUGGACUGUAAGAUGCUCCUUGUGUGAAACGCUGUGAUCCCAAGGUCGCUGGUUCAACUCCAGCUCCAAGCACCUCCUUGUCAUUGGAAAUACCCCCAAGCCUUGUCUUUAUCUGUCAACUCCUCCAAAAUGUAAAAACACAAACAAGAUAACUCUUUCUUAAAUUUUCAACCAUCAAUUUUUUAUUCACCCAGCCUAAAAGUCCUGAUUAUUAGUUCUGGGUCCCUGGCUAUGACUGUUGGGUACAAACUGCAAAGCUUUGUUCUACAGGUAGGGCUGGGCUUUUCAUUGACCAUGGGUUGGAAUAGUUCUGUGGGCAUAGUGUGUCUCCAAAGCCACUAUGUUUUCUGCUGUUGUGAUUAGAGAGCACCUUGAUAAGCUCAGUUGGUAGAGCGGUGGACUGUAAGAUGCUCCUUGUGUGAAACACUGUGAUCCUAAUGUUGCUGGUUCAACUCCAGCUCCAAGCACCUCCUUGUGAUUGGAAAUACCCCCAAGCCAUGUGUUUAUCAAUUAACUCCUCCAAAAUGUAAAAACACAAACAAGUUAACUCAUUCUUAAAUUUUCAACCAUCAAUUUUUUAUCCACCCAGACUAAAAGUCCUGAUUAUUAGUUCUGGGUCCCUGGCAAUGACUGUUGGGUACAAACUGCAAAGCUUUGUUCUACAGGUAGGGCUUGGCUUUUCAUUGACCAUGGGUUGGAAUAGUUCUGUGGGCAUAGUGUGUCUCCAAAGCCACUAUGUUUUGUGCUGUUGUGACUAGAGAGCACCUUGAUAGCUCAGUUGGUAGAGCAGUGGACUGUAAGAUGCUCCUUGUAUGAAACGCUGUGAUUCUAAGGUCGCUGGUUCAACUCCAGCUCCAAGCACCUCCUUGUCAUUGUAAAUACCCCCAAGCCUUGUCUUUAUCUGUCAACUCCUCCAAAAUGUAAAAACACAAACAAGAUAACUCUUUCUUAAAUUUUCAACCAUCAAUUUUUUUUUCACCCAGCCUUAAAAGUUCUCAUUAUUAGUUCUGGGUCCCUGACAAUGACUGUUGGGUACAAACUGCAAAGCUUUGUUCUGCAGGUCGGGCUGGGCUUUUCAUUGACCAUGGGUUGGAAUAGUUCUGUGGGCAUAGUGUGUCUCCAAAGCCACUAUGUUUUGUGCUGUUGUGACUAGAGAGCACCUUGAUAGCUCAGUUGGUAGAGCGGUGGACUGUUAGAUGCUCCUUGUGUGAAACGCUGUGAUCCUAAGGUCGCUGGUUCAACUCCAGCUCCAAGCACCUCCUUGUGAUUGGAAAUACCCCCAAGCCUUGUCUUUAUCUGUCAACUCCUCCAAAAUGUAAAAACACAAACAAGAUAACUCUUUCUUAAAUUUUCCACCAACAAUUUUUUAUCCACCCAGCCUAAAAGUCCUGAUUAUUUGUUCUGGGUCCCUGGCAAUGACUGUUGGGUACAAACUGCAAAGCUUUGUUCUACAGGUAGGGCUGGGCUUUUCAUUGACCAUGGGUUGGAAUAGUUCUGUGGGCAAAGUGUGUCUCCAAAGCCACUAUGUUUUCUGCUGUUGUGACUAGAGAGCACCUUGAUAAGCUCAGUUGGUAGAGCAGUGGACUGUAAGAUGCUCCUUGUGUGAAACGCUGUGAUCCCAAGGUCGCUGGUUCAACUCCAGCUCCAAGCACCUCCUUGUGAUUAGAAAUACCCCCAAGCCUUGUCUUUAUCUGUCAACUCCUCCAAAAUGUAAAAACACAAACAAGAUAACUCUUUCUUAAAUUUUCCACCAACAAUUUUUUAUCCACCCAGCCUAAAAGUCCUGAUUAUUAGUUCUGGGUCCCUGGCAAUGACUGUUGGGUACAAACUGCAAAGCUUUGUUCUACAGGUAGGGCUGGGCUUUUCAUUGACCAUGGGUUGGAAUAGUUCUGUGGGCAAAGUGUGUCUCCAAAGCCACUAUGUUUUCUGCUGUUGUGACUAGAGAGCACCUUGAUAAGCUCAGUUGGUAGAGCAGUGGACUGUAAGAUGCUCCUUGUGUGAAACGCUCUGAUCCUAAGGUCGCUGGUUCAACUCCAGCUCCAAGCACCUCCUUGUCAUUGGAAAUACCCCCAAGCCUUGUCUUUAUCUGUCAACCCCUUUCAAAAUGUAAAAACACAAACAAGAUAACUCUUUCUUAAAUUUUCAACCAUCAAUUUUUUAUUCACCCAGCCUAAAAGUCCUGAUUAUUAGUUCUGGGUCCCUGGCAAUGACUGUUGGUUACAAACUGCAAAGCUUUGUUCUACAGGUAGGGCUGGGCUUUUUAUUGACCAUGGGUUGGAAUAGUUCUGUGGGCAAAGUGUGUCUCCAAAGCCACUAUGUUUUCUGCUGUUGUGACUAGAGAGCACCUUGAUAGCUCAGUUGGUAGAGCGGUGGACUGUAAGAUGCUCCUUGUGUGAAACGCUGUGAUCCCAAGGUCGCUGGUUCAACUCCAGCUCCAAGCACCUCCUUGUCAUUGGAAAUACCCCCAAGCCUUGUCUUUAUCUGUCAACUCCUCCAAAAUGUAAAAACACAAACAAGAUAACUCUUUCUUAAAUUUUCCACCAACAAUUUUUUAUCCACCCAGCCUAAACGUCCUGAUUAUUAGUUCUGGGUCCCUGGCUAUGACUGUUGGGUACAAACUGCAAAGCUUUGUUCUACAGGUAGGGCUUGGCUUUUCAUUGACCAUGGGUUGGAAUAGUUCUGUGGGCAUAGUGUGUCUCCAAAGCCACUAUGUUUUCUGCUGUUGUGACUAUAGAGCACCUUGAUAAGCUCAGUUGGUAGAGCAGUGGACUGUAAGAUGCUCCUUGUGUGAAACACUGUGAUCCUAAUGUUGCUGGUUCAACUCCAGCUCCAAGCACCUCCUUGUGAUUGGAAAUAUCCCCAAGCCUUGUCUUUAUCAAUCAACUCCUCCAAAAUGUAAAAACACAAACAAGAUAACUCUUUCUUAAAUUUUCAACCACAAUUUUUUUUUCACCCAGCCUUAAAAGUUCUCAUUAUUAGUUCUGGGUCCCUGACAAUGACUGUUGGGUACAAACUGCAAAGCUUUGUUCUGUAGGUCGGGCUGGGCUUUUCAUUGACCAUGGGUUGGAAUAGUUCUGUGGGCAAAGUGUGUCUCCAAAGCCACUAUGUUUUGUGCUGUUGUGACUAAAGAGCACCUUGAUAGCUCAGUUGGUAGAGCGGUGGACUGUAAGAUGCUCCUUGUAUGAAACGCUGUGUUUCUAAGUUUGCUGGUUCAACUCCAGCUCCAAGCACCUCCUUGUCAUUGGAAAUACCCCCAAGCCUUGUCUUUAUCUGUCAACUCCUCCAAAAUGUAAAAACACAAAGAUAACUCUUUCUUAAAUUUUCAACCAUCAAUUUUUUAUUCACCCAGCCUAAACGUCCUGAUUAUUAGUUCUGGGUCCCUGGCUAUGACUGUUGGGUACAAACUGCAAAGCUUUGUUCUACAGGUAGGGCUGGGCUUUUCAUUGACCAUGGGUUGGAAUAGUUCUGUGGGCAAAGUGUGUCUCCAAAGCCACUAUGUUUUGUGCUGUUGUGACUAUAGAGCACCUUGAUAGCUCAGUUGGUAGAGCGGUGGACUGUAAGAUGCUCCUUGUGUGAAACGCUGUGAUCCCAAGGUCGCUGGUUCAACUCCAGCUCCAAGCACCUCCUUGUCAUUGGAAAUACCCCCAAGCCUUGUCUUUAUCUGUCAACUCCUCCAAAAUGUAAAAACACAAACAAGAUAACUCUUUCUUAAAUUUUCCACCAACAAUUUUUUAUCCACCCAGCCUAAACGUCCUGAUUAUUAGUUCUGGGUCCCUGGCUAUGACUGUUGGGUACAAACUGCAAAGCUUUGUUCUACAGGUAGGGCUUGGCUUUUCAUUGACCAUGGGUUGGAAUAGUUCUGUGGGCAUAGUGUGUCUCCAAAGCCACUAUGUUUUCUGCUGUUGUGACUAUAGAGCACCUUGAUAAGCUCAGUUGGUAGAGCAGUGGACUGUAAGAUGCUCCUUGUGUGAAACACUGUGAUCCUAAUGUUGCUGGUUCAACUCCAGCUCCAAGCACCUCCUUGUGAUUGGAAAUACCCCCAAGCCUUGUCUUUAUCAAUCAACUCCUCCAAAAUGUAAAAACACAAACAAGAUAACUCUUUCUUAAAUUUUCAACCACAAUUUUUUUUUCACCCAGCCUUAAAAGUUCUCAUUAUUAGUUCUGGGUCCCUGACAAUGACUGUUGGGUACAAACUGCAAAGCUUUGUUCUGUAGGUCGGGCUGGGCUUUUCAUUGACCAUGGGUUGGAAUAGUUCUGUGGGCAAAGUGUGUCUCCAAAGCCACUAUGUUUUGUGCUGUUGUGACUAAAGAGCACCUUGAUAGCUCAGUUGGUAGAGCGGUGGACUGUAAGAUGCUCCUUGUAUGAAACGCUGUGUUUCUAAGUUUGCUGGUUCAACUCCAGCUCCAAGCACCUCCUUGUCAUUGGAAAUACCCCCAAGCCUUGUCUUUAUCUGUCAACUCCUCCAAAAUGUAAAAACACAAAGAUAACUCUUUCUUAAAUUUUCAACCAUCAAUUUUUUAUUCACCCAGCCUAAACGUCCUGAUUAUUAGUUCUGGGUCCCUGGCUAUGACUGUUGGGUACAAACUGCAAAGCUUUGUUCUACAGGUAGGGCUGGGCUUUUCAUUGACCAUGGGUUGGAAUAGUUCUGUGGGCAAAGUGUGUCUCCAAAGCCACUAUGUUUUGUGCUGUUGUGACUAUAGAGCACCUUGAUAGCUCAGUUGGUAGAGCGGUGGACUGUAAGAUGCUCCUUGUGUGAAACACUGUGAUCCCAAGGUCGCUGGUUCAACUCCAGCUCCAAGCACCUCCUUGUCAUUGGAAAUACCCCCAAGCCUUGUCUUUAUCUGUCAACUCCUCCAAAAUGUAAAAACAAAAACAAGAUAACUCUUUCUUAAAUUUUCCACCAACAAUUUUUUAUCCACCCAGCCUAAACGUCCUGAUUAUUAGUUCUGGGUCCCUGGCUAUGACUGUUGGGUACAAACUGCAAAGCUUUGUUCUACAGGUAGGGCUGGGCUUUUCAUUGACCAUAGGUUGGAAUAGUUCUGUGGGCAUAGUGUGUCUCCAAAGCCACUAUGUUUUCUGCUGUUGUGACUAUAGAGCACCUUGAUAGCUCAGUUGGUACAGCGGUGGACUGUAAGAUGCUCCUUGUGUGCAAAAGCUGUCAUCCUAAGGUCGCUGGUUCAACUCCAGCUCCAAGCACCUCCUUGUCAUUGGAAAUACCCCCAAGCCUUGUCUUUAUCUGUCAACCCCUUUCAAAAUGUAAAAACACAAAAAAGAUAACUCUUUCUUAAAUUUUCCACCAACAAUUUUUUAUCCACCCAGCCUAAACGUCCUGAUUAUUAGUUCUGGGUCCCUGGCUAUGACUGUUGGGUACAAACUGCAAAGCUUUGUUCUACAGGUAGGGCUGGGCUUUUCAUUGACCAUGGGUUGGAAUAGUUCUGUGGGCAUAGUGUGUCUCCAAAGCCACUAUGUUUUCUGCUGUUGUGACUAUAGAGCACCUUGAUAGCUCAGUUGGUACAGCGGUGGACUGUAAGAUGCUCCUUGUGUGCAAAAGCUGUGAUCCUAAGGUCGCUGGUUCAACUCCAGCUCCAAGCACCUCCUUGUCAUUGGAAAUACCCCCAAGCCUUGUCUUUAUCUGUCAACCCCUUUCAAAAUGUAAAAACACAAACAAGAUAACUCUUUCUUAAAUUUUCAACCAUCAAUUUUUUAUUCACCCAGCCUAAAAGUCCUGAUUAUUAGUUCUGGGUCCCUGGCAAUGACUGUUGGUUACAAACUGCAAAGCUUUGUUCUACAGGUAGGGCUGGGCUUUUCAUUGACCAUGGGUUGGAAUAGUUCUGUGGGCAUAGUGUGUCUCCAAAGCCACUAUGUUUUCUGCUGUUGUGACUAUACAGCACCUUCAUAGCUCAGUUGGUAGAGCGGUGGACUGUAAGAGUCUCCUUGUGUGAAAAGCUGUCAUCCUAAGGUCGCUGGUUCAACUCCAGCUCCAAGCACCUCCUUGUGAUUGGAAAUACCCCCAAGCCUUGUCUUUAUCUGUCAACUCCUCCAAAAUGUAAAAACACAAACAAGAUAACUCUCUCUUAAAUUUUCAACCAACAAUUUUUUAUCCACCCAGCCUAAAAGUCCUGAUUAUUAGUUCUGGGUCCCUGACAAUGACUGUUGGGUACAAACUGCAAAGCUUUGUUCUACAGGUAGGGCUGGGCUUUUCAUUGACCAUGGGUUGGAAUAGUUCUGUGGGCAUAGUGUGUCUCCAAAGCCACUAUGUUUUCUGCUGUUUUGACUAGAGAGCACCUUGAUAGCUCAGUUGGUAGAGCAGUGCACUGUAAGAUGCUCCUUGUGUGAAACGCUGUGAUCCUAAGGUCGCUGGUUCAACUCCAGCUCCAAGCACCUCCUUGUGAUUGGAAAUACCCCAAAGCCUUGUCUUUAUCUGUCAACUCCUCCAAAAUGUAAAAACACAAACAAGAUAACUCUUUCUUAAAUUUUCAACCAUCAAUUUUUUAUCCACCCAGCCUAAAAGUCCUGAUUAUUAGUUCUGGGUCCCUGGCAAUGACUGUUGGGUACAAACUGCAAAGCUUUGUUCUACAGGUAGGGCUGGGCCUUUCAUUGACCAUGGGUUGGAAUAGUUCUGUGGGCAAAGUGUGUCUCCAAAGCCACUAUGUUUUGUGCUGUUGUGACUAGAGAGCACCUUGAUAGCUCAGUUGGUAGAGCGGUGGACUGUAAGAUGCUCCUUGUAUGAAAAGCUGUGAAUCUAAGGUCGCUGGUUCAACUCCAGCUCCAAGCACCUCCUUGUCAUUGGAAAUACCCCCAAGCCUUGUCUUUAUCUGUCAACCCCUCCAAAAUGUAAAAACACAAACAAGAUAACUCUUUCUUAAAUUUUCAACCAUCAAUUUUUUAUUCACCCAGCCUAAAAGUCCUGAUUAUUAGUUCUGGGUCCCUGACAAUGACUGUUGGGUAAAAAAUGCAAAGCUUUGUUCUACAGGUAGGGCUGGGCUUUUCAUUGACCAUGGGUUGGAAUAGUUCUGUGGGCAUAGUGUGUCUCCAAAGCCACUAUGUUUUGUGCUGUUGUUACUAGAGAGCACCUUGAUAGCUCAGUUGGUAGAGCGGUGGACUGUUAGAUGCUCCUUGUGUGAAACGCUGUGAUCCUAAGGUCGCUGGUUCAACUCCAGCUCCAAGCACCUCCUUGUCAUUGGAAAUACCCCCAAGCCUUGUCUUUAUCUGUCAACUCCUCCAAAAUGUAAAAUCACAAACAAGAUAACUCUUUCUUAAAUUUUCAACCAACAAUUUUUUAUCCACCCAGCCUAAACGUCCUGAUUAUUAGUUCUGGGUCCCUGGCUAUGACUGUUGGGUACAAACUGCAAAGCUUUGUUCUACAGGUAGGGCUGGGCUUUUCAUUGACCAUGGGUUGGAAUAGUUCUGUGGGCAUAGUGUGUCUCCAAAGCCACUAUGUUUUCUGCUGUUGUGACUAUAGAGCACCUUGAUAGCUCAGUUGGUAGAGCGGUGGACUGUAAGAUGCUCCUUGUGUGCAAAAGCUGUGAUCCUAAGGUCGCUGGUUCAACUCCAGCUCCAAGCACCUCCUUGUCAUUGGAAAUACCCCCAAGCCUUGUCUUUAUCUGUCAACCCCUUUCAAAAUGUAAAAACACAAACAAGAUAACUCUUUCUUAAAUUUUCAACCAUCAAUUUUUUAUUCACCCAGCCUAAAAGUCCUGAUUAUUAGUUCUGGGUCCCUGGCAAUGACUGUUGGUUACAAACUGCAAAGCUUUGUUCUACAGGUAGGGCUGGGCUUUUCAUUGACCAUGGGUUGGAAUAGUUCUGUGGGCAUAGUGUGUCUCCAAAGCCACUAUGUUUUCUGCUGUUGUGACUAUACAGCACCUUCAUAGCUCAGUUGGUAGAGCGGUGGACUGUAAGAGUCUCCUUGUGUGAAAAGCUGUCAUCCUAAGGUCGCUGGUUCAACUCCAGCUCCAAGCACCUCCUUGUGAUUGGAAAUACCCCCAAGCCUUGUCUUUAUCUGUCAACUCCUCCAAAAUGUAAAAACACAAACAAGAUAACUCUCUCUUAAAUUUUCAACCAACAAUUUUUUAUCCACCCAGCCUAAAAGUCCUGAUUAUUAGUUCUGGGUCCCUGACAAUGACUGUUGGGUACAAACUGCAAAGCUUUGUUCUACAGGUAGGGCUGGGCUUUUCAUUGACCAUGGGUUGGAAUAGUUCUGUGGGCAUAGUGUGUCUCCAAAGCCACUAUGUUUUCUGCUGUUUUGACUAGAGAGCACCUUGAUAGCUCAGUUGGUAGAGCAGUGCACUGUAAGAUGCUCCUUGUGUGAAACGCUGUGAUCCUAAGGUCGCUGGUUCAACUCCAGCUCCAAGCACCUCCUUGUGAUUGGAAAUACCCCAAAGCCUUGUCUUUAUCUGUCAACUCCUCCAAAAUGUAAAAACACAAACAAGAUAACUCUUUCUUAAAUUUUCAACCAUCAAUUUUUUAUCCACCCAGCCUAAAAGUCCUGAUUAUUAGUUCUGGGUCCCUGGCAAUGACUGUUGGUUACAAACUGCAAAGCUUUGUUCUACAGGUAGGGCUGGGCCUUUCAUUGACCAUGGGUUGGAAUAGUUCUGUGGGCAAAGUGUGUCUCCAAAGCCACUAUGUUUUGUGCUGUUGUGACUAGAGAGCACCUUGAUAGCUCAGUUGGUAGAGCGGUGGACUGUAAGAUGCUCCUUGUAUGAAAAGCUGUGAAUCUAAGGUCGCUGGUUCAACUCCAGCUCCAAGCACCUCCUUGUGAUUGGAAAUACCCCCAAGCCUUGUCUUUAUCUGUCAACUCCUCCAAAAUGUAAAAACACAAACAAGAUAACUCUCUCUUAAAUUUUCAACCAACAAUUUUUUAUCCACCCAGCCUAAAAGUCCUGAUUAUUAGUUCUGGGUCCCUGACAAUGACUGUUGGGUACAAACUGCAAAGCUUUGUUCUACAGGUAGGGCUGGGCUUUUCAUUGACCAUGGGUUGGAAUAGUUCUGUGGGCAUAGUGUGUCUCCAAAGCCACUAUGUUUUCUGCUGUUUUGACUAGAGAGCACCUUGAUAGCUCAGUUGGUAGAGCAGUGCACUGUAAGAUGCUCCUUGUGUGAAACGCUGUGAUCCUAAGGUCGCUGGUUCAACUCCAGCUCCAAGCACCUCCUUGUGAUUGGAAAUACCCCAAAGCCUUGUCUUUAUCUGUCAACUCCUCCAAAAUGUAAAAACACAAACAAGAUAACUCUUUCUUAAAUUUUCAACCAUCAAUUUUUUAUCCACCCAGCCUAAAAGUCCUGAUUAUUAGUUCUGGGUCCCUGGCAAUGACUGUUGGGUACAAACUGCAAAGCUUUGUUCUACAGGUAGGGCUGGGCCUUUCAUUGACCAUGGGUUGGAAUAGUUCUGUGGGCAAAGUGUGUCUCCAAAGCCACUAUGUUUUGUGCUGUUGUGACUAGAGAGCACCUUGAUAGCUCAGUUGGUAGAGCGGUGGACUGUAAGAUGCUCCUUGUAUGAAAAGCUGUGAAUCUAAGGUCGCUGGUUCAACUCCAGCUCCAAGCACCUCCUUGUCAUUGGAAAUACCCCCAAGCCUUGUCUUUAUCUGUCAACCCCUCCAAAAUGUAAAAACACAAACAAGAUAACUCUUUCUUAAAUUUUCAACCAUCAAUUUUUUAUUCACCCAGCCUAAAAGUCCUGAUUAUUAGUUCUGGGUCCCUGACAAUGACUGUUGGGUAAAAAAUGCAAAGCUUUGUUCUACAGGUAGGGCUGGGCUUUUCAUUGACCAUGGGUUGGAAUAGUUCUGUGGGCAUAGUGUGUCUCCAAAGCCACUAUGUUUUGUGCUGUUGUUACUAGAGAGCACCUUGAUAGCUCAGUUGGUAGAGCGGUGGACUGUUAGAUGCUCCUUGUGUGAAACGCUGUGAUCCUAAGGUCGCUGGUUCAACUCCAGCUCCAAGCACCUCCUUGUCAUUGGAAAUACCCCCAAGCCUUGUCUUUAUCUGUCAACUCCUCCAAAAUGUAAAAUCACAAACAAGAUAACUCUUUCUUAAAUUUUCAACCAUCAAUUUUUUAUUCACCCAGCCUAAAAGUCCUGAUUAUUAGUUCUGGGUCCCUGGCAAUGAACGUUGGGUACAAACUGCAAAGCUUUGUUCUACAGGUAGGGCUGGGCCUUUCAUUGACCAUGGGUUGGAAUAGUUCUGUGGGCAAAGUGUGUCUCCAAAGCCACUAUGUUUUCUGCUGUUGUGACUAUAGAGCACCUUGAUAGCUCAGUUGGUAGAGCAGUGGACUGUAAGAUGCUCCUUGUGUGAAACGCUGUGAUCCCAAGGUCGCUGGUUCAACUCCAGCUCCAAGCACCUCCUUGUCAUUGGAAAUACCCCCAAGCCUUGUCUUUAUCUGUCAACUCCUCCAAAAUGUAAAAACACAAACAAGAUAACUCUUUCUUAAAUUUUCCACCAACAAUUUUUUAUCCACCCAGCCUAAAAGUCCUGAUUAUUAGUUCUGGGUCCCUGGCAAUGACUGUUGGGUACAAACUGCAAAGCUUUGUUCUACAGGUAGGGCUGGGCCUUUCAUUGACCAUGGGUUGGAAUAGUUCUGUGGGCAAAGUGUGUCUCCAAAGCCACUAUGUUUUCUGCUGUUGUGACUAGAGAGCACCUUGAUAGCUCAGUUGGUAGAGCAGUGGACUGUAAGAUGCUCCUUGUGUGAAACGCUGUGAUCCCAAGGUCGCUGGUUCAACUCCAGCUUCAAGCACCUCCUUGUCAUUGGAAAUACCCCCAAGCCUUGUCUUUAUCUGUCAACUCCUCCAAAAUGUAAAAACACAAACAAGAUAACUCUUUCUUAAAUUUUCCACCAACAAUUUUUUAUCCACCCAGCCUAAAAGUCCUGAUUAUUUGUUCUGGGUCCCUGGCAAUGACGGUUGGGUACAAACUGCAAAGCUUUGUUCUACAGGUAGGGCUGGGCUUUUCAUUGACCAUGGGUUGGAAUAGUUCUGUGGGUAUAGUGUGUCUCCAAAGCCACUAUGUUUUGUGCUGUUGUGACUAUAGAGCACCUUGAUAGCUCAGUUGGUAGAGCGGUGGACUGUAAGAUGCUCCUUGUGUGAAACGCUCUGAUCCUAAGGUCGCUGGUUCAACUCCAGCUCAAAGCACCUCCUUGUCAUUGGAAAUACCCCCAAGCCUUGUCUUUAUCUGUCAACCCCUUUCAAAAUGUAAAAACACAAACAAGAUAACUCUUUCUUAAAUUUUCAAUCAUCAAUUUUUUAUUCACCCAGCCUAAAAGUCCUGAUUAUUAGUUCUGGGUCCCUGGCAAUGACUGUUGGUUACAAACUGCAAAGCUUUGUUCUACAGGUAGGGCUGGGCUUUUCAUUGACCAUGGGUCUGAAUAGUUCUGUGGGCAAAGUGUGUCUCCAAAGCCACUAUGUUUUCUGCUGUUGUGACUACAGAGCACCUUGAUAGCUCAGUUGGUAUAGCGGUGGACUGUAAGAUGCUCCUUGUAUGAAACACUGUGAACCUAAGGUCGCUGGUUCAACUCCAGCUCCAAGCACCUCCUUGUCAUUGGAAAUACCCCCAAGCCUUGUCUUUAUCUGUCAACUCCUCCAAAAUGUAAAAACACAAACAAGAUAACUCUUUCUUAAAUUUUCAACCAACAAUUUUUUAUCCACCCAGCCUAAAAGUCCUGAUUAUUAGUUCUGGGUCCCUGACAAUGACUGUUGGGUACAAACUGCAAAGCUUUGUUCUACAGGUAGGGCUGGGCUUUUCAUUGACCAUGGGUUGGAAUAGUUCUGUGGGCAUAGUGUGUCUCCAAAGCCACUAUGUUUUCUGCUGUUGUGACUAGAGAGCACCUUGAUAGCUCAGUUGGUAGAGCGGUGCACUGUAAGAUGCUCCUUGUGUGAAACACUGUGAUCCUAAGGUAGCUGGUUCAUCUCCAGCUCCAAGCACCUCCUUGUGAUUGGAAAUACCCCAAAGCCUUGUCUUUAUCUGUCAACUCCUCCAAAAUGUAAAAACACAAACAAGAUAACUCUUUCUUUAAUUUUCAACCAUCAAUUUUUUAUUCACCCAGCCUAAAAGUCCUGAUUAUUAGUUCUGGGUCCCUGGCAAUGACUGUUGGGUACAAACUGCAAAGCUUUGUUCUACAGGUAGGGCUGGGCCUUUCAUUGACCAUGGGUUGGAAUAGUUCUGUGGGCAAAGUGUGUCUCCAAAGCCACUAUGUUUUCUGCUGUUGUGACUAGAGAGCACCUUGAUAGCUCAGUUGGUAGAGCAGUGGACUGUAAGAUGCUCCUUGUGUGAAACGCUGUGAUCCCAAGGUCGCUGGUUCAACUCCAGCUCCAAGCACCUCCUUGUCAUUGGAAAUACCCCCAAGCCUUGUCUUUAUCUGUCAACUCCUCCAAAAUGUAAAAACACAAACAAGAUAACUCUUUCUUAAAUUUUCAACCAUCAAUUUUUUAUUCACCCAGCCUAAAAGUGCUGAUUAUUAGUUCUGGGUCCCUGGCAAUGACUGUUGGGUACAAACUGCAAAGCUUUGUUCUACAGGUAGGGCUGGGCUUUUCACUGACCAUGGGUUGGAAUAGUUCUGUGGGCAAAGUGUGUCUCCAAAGCCACUAUGUUUUCUGCUGUUGUGACUAUAGAGCACCUUGAUAGCUCAGUUGGUAGAGCGGUGGACUGUAAGAUGCUCCUUGUGUGAAACGAUGUGAUCCUAAGUUCGCUGGUUCAACUCCAGCUCCAAGCACCUCCUUGUCAUUGGAAAUACCCCCAAGCCUUGUCUUUAUCUGUCAACUCCUCCAAAAUGUAAAAACACAAACAAGAUAACUCUUUCUUAAAUUUUCAACCACAAUUUUUUUUUCACCCAGCCUUAAAAGUUCUCAUUAUUAGUUCUGGGUCACUGACAAUGACUGUUGGGUACAAACUGCAAAGCUUUGUUCUGCAGGUCGGACUGGGCUUUUCAUUGACCAUGGGUUGGAAUAGUUCUGUGGGCAUAGUGUGUCUCCAAAGCCACUAUGUUUUGUGCUGUUGUGACUAGAGAGCACCUUGAUAGCUCAGUUGGUAGAGCGGUGGACUGUAAGAUCCUCCUUGUGUGAAAUGCUGUGAUCCUAAGGUUGCUUGUUCAACUCCAGCUCCAAGCACCUCCUUGUCAUUGGAAAUACCCCCAAGCCUUGUCUUUAUCUGUCAACCCCUUUCAAAAUGUAAAAACACAAACAAGAUAACUCUUUCUUAAAUUUUCAACCAUCAAUUUUCUAUUCACCCAGCCUAAAAGUCCUGAUUAUUAGUUCUGGGUCCCUGGCAAUGACUGUUGGUUACAAACUGCAAAGCUUUGUUCUACAGGUAGGGCUGGGCUUUUCAUUGACCAUGGGUUGGAAUAGUUCUGUGGGCAAAGUGUGUCUCCAAAGCCACUAUGUUUUCUGCUGUUGUGACUACAGAGCACCUUGAUAGCUCAGUUGGUAGAGCGGUGGACUGUAAGAUGCUCCUUGUGUGAAACGCUGUGAUCCCAAGGUCGCUGGUUCAACUCCAGCUCCAAGCACCUCCUUGUGAUUGGAAAUACCCCAAAGCCUUGUCUUUAUCUGUCAACUCCUCCAAAAUGUAAAAACACAAACAAGAUAACUCUUUCUUAAAUUUUCAACCAUCAAUUUUUUAUUCACCCAGCCUAAAAGUCCUGAUUAUUAGUUCUGGGUCCCUGGCUAUGACUGUUGGGUACAAACUGCAAAGCUUUGUUCUACAGGUAGGGCUGGGCUUUUCAUUGACCAUGGGUUGGAAUAGUUCUGUGGGCAUAGUGUGUCUCCAAAGCCACUAUGUUUUCUGCUGUUGUGACUAGAGAGCACCUUGAUAGCUCAGUUGGUAGAGCGGUGGACUGUAAGAUCCUCCUUGUGUGAAAUGCUGUGAUCCUAAGGUUGCUUGUUCAACUCCAGCUCCAAGCACCUCCUUGUCAUUGGAAAUACCCCCAAGCCUUGUCUUUAUCUGUCAACCCCUUUCAAAAUGUAAAAACACAAACAAGAUAACUCUUUCUUAAAUUUUCAACCAUCAAUUUUCUAUUCACCCAGCCUAAAAGUCCUGAUUAUUAGUUCUGGGUCCCUGGCAAUGACUGUUGGUUACAAACUGCAAAGCUUUGUUCUACAGGUAGGGCUGGGCUUUUCAUUGACCAUGGGUUGGAAUAGUUCUGUGGGCAAAGUGUGUCUCCAAAGCCACUAUGUUUUCUGCUGUUGUGACUACAGAGCACCUUGAUAGCUCAGUUGGUAGAGCGGUGGACUGUAAGAUGCUCCUUGUGUGAAACGCUGUGAUCCCAAGGUCGCUGGUUCAACUCCAGCUCCAAGCACCUCCUUGUGAUUGGAAAUACCCCAAAGCCUUGUCUUUAUCUGUCAACUCCUCCAAAAUGUAAAAACACAAACAAGAUAACUCUUUCUUAAAUUUUCAACCAUCAAUUUUUUAUUCACCCAGCCUAAAAGUCCUGAUUAUUAGUUCUGGGUCCCUGGCUAUGACUGUUGGGUACAAACUGCAAAGCUUUGUUCUACAGGUAGGGCUGGGCUUUUCAUUGACCAUGGGUUGGAAUAGUUCUGUGGGCAUAGUGUGUCUCCAAAGCCACUAUGUUUUCUGCUGUUGUGACUAGAGAGCAUCUUGAUAAGCUCAGUUGGUAGAGCAGUGGACUGUAAGAUGCUCCUUGUGUGAAACACUGUGAUCCUAAUGUUGCUUGUUCAACUCCAGCUCCAAGCACCUCCUUGUGAUUUGAAAUACCCCCAAGCCAUGUCUUUAUCAAUUAACUCCUCCAAAAUGUAAAAACACAAACAAGUUAACUCAUUCUUAAAUUUUCAACCAUCAAUUUUUUAUCCACCCAGCCCAAAAGUCCUGAUUAUUAGUUCUGGGUCCCUGGCAAUGACUGUUGGGUACAAACUGCAAAGCUUUGUUCUAAAGGUAGGGCUUGGCUUUUCAUUGACCAUGGGUUGGAAUAGUUCUGUGGGCAUAGUGUGUCUCCAAAGCCACUAUGUUUUGUGCUGUUGUGACUAGAGAGCACCUUGAUAGCUCAGUUGGUAGAGCGGUGGACUGUAAGAUGCUCCUUGUAUGAAACGCUGUGAUUCUAAGGUCGCUGGUUCAACUCCAGCUCCAAGCAUCUCCUUGUCAUUGGAAAUACCCCCAAGCCUUGUCUUUAUCUGUCAACUCCUCCAAAAUGUAAAAACACAAACAAGAUAACUCUUUCUUAAAUUUUCAACCAUCAAUUUUUUAUUCACCCAGCCUAAAAGUCCUGAUUAUUAGUUCUGGGUCCCUGACAAUGACUGUUGGGUACAAACUGCAAAGCUUUGUUCUACAGGUAGGGCUGGGCUUUUCAUUGACCAUGGGUUGGAAUAGUUCUGUGGGCAAAGUGUGUCUCCAAAGCCACUAUGUUUUGUGCUGUUGUGACUAUAGAGCACCUUGAUAGCUCAGUUGGUAGAGCGGUGGACUGUAAGAUGCUCCUUGUGUGAAACGCUGUGAUCCCAACGUCGCUGGUUCAACUCUAGCUCCAAGCACCUCCUUGUCAUUGGAAAUACCCCCAAGCCUUGUCUUUAUCUGUCAACUCCUCCAAAAUGUAAAAACACAAACAAGAUAACUCUUUCUUAAAUUUUCCACCAACAAUUUUUUAUCCACCCAGCCUAAAGGUCCUGAUUAUUAGUUCUGGGUCCCUGGCUAUGACUGUUGGGUACAAACUGCAAAGCUUUGUUCUACAGGUAGGGCUGGGCUUUUCAUUGACCAUGGGUUGGAAUAGUUCUGUGGGCAUAGUGUGUCUCCAAAGCCACUAUGUUUUCUGCUGUUGUGACUAGAGAGCACCUUGAUAGCUCAGUUGGUAGAGCGGUGGACUGUAAGAUGCUCCUUGUGUGAAACGCUGUGAUCCCAAGGUCGCUGGUUCAACUCCAGCUCCAAGCACCUCCUUGUCAUUGGAAAUACCCCCAAGCCUUGUCUUUAUCUGUCAACUCCUCCAAAAUGUAAAAACACAAACAAGAUAACUCUUUCUUAAGUUUUCAACCACAAUUUUUUUUUCACCCAGCCUUAAAAGUUCUCAUUAUUAGUUCUGGGUCCCUGACAAUGACUGUUGGGUACAAACUGCAAAGCUUUGUUCUGCAGGUCGGGCUGGGCUUUUCAUUGACCAUGGGUUGGAAUAGUUCUGUGGGCAUAGUGUGUCUCCAAAGCCACUAUGUUUUGUGCUGUUGUGACUAGAGAGCACCUUGAUAGCUCAGUUGGUAGAGCGGUGGACUGUUAGAUGCUCCUUGUGUGAAACGCUGUGAUCCUAAGGUCGCUGGUUCAACUCCAGCUCCAAGCACCUCCUUGUCAUUGGAAAUUCCCCCAAGCCUUGUCUUUAUCUGUCAACUCCUCCAAAAUGUAAAAACACAAACAAGAUAACUCUUUCUUAAAUUUUCAACCAUCAAUUUUUUAUUCACCCAGCCUCAAAGUCCUGAUUAUUAGUUCUGGGUCCCUGACAAUGACUGUUGGGUACAAACUGUAAGGCUUUGUUCUGCAGGUCGGGCUGGGCUUUUCAUUGAACAUGGGUUGGAAUAGUUCUGUGGGCAUAGUGUGUCUCCAAAGCCACUAUAAUUUCUGCUGUUGUGACUAGAGAGCACCUUGAUAGCUCAGUUGGUAGAGCGGUGGACUGUAAGAUGCUCCUUGUGUGAAACGCUGUGAUCCUAAGUUCGCUUGUUCAACUCGCUUGUUCGCUUGUUCUGUCAACUCCUCCAAAAUGUAAAAACACAAACAAGAUAACUCUUUCUUAAAUUUUCAACCAUCAAUUUUUUAUUCACCCAGCCUAAAAGUCCUGAUUAUUAGUUCUGGGUCCCUGGCAAUGACUGUUGGGUACAAACUGCAAAGCUUUGUUCUACAGGUAGGGCUGGGCUUUUCAUUGACCAUGGGUUGGAAUAGUUCUGUGGGCAUAGUGUGUCUCCAAAGCCACUAUGUUUUCUGCUGUUAUGACUAUAGAGCACCUUCAUAGCUCACUUGGUAGAGUGGUGGACUGUAAGAUGCUCCUUGUGUGAAAAGCUGUGAUCCUAAUCUCGCUGGUUCAACUCCAGCUCCAAGCACCUCCUUGUCAUUGAAAAUACUCCCAAGCCUUGUCUUUAUCUGUCAACUCCUCCAAAAUGUAAAAACACAAACAAGAUAACUCUUUCUUAAAUUUUCAACCAUCAAUUUUUUAUUCACCCAGCCUCAAAGUCCUGAUUAUUAGUUCUGGGUCCCUGACAAUGACUGUUGGGUACAAACUGUAAGGCUUUGUUCUGCAGGUCGGGCUGGGCUUUUCAUUGACAAUGGGUUGGAAUAGUUCUGUGGGCAUAGUGUGUCUCCAAAGCCACUAUGUUUUCUGCUGUUGUGACUAGAGUGCACCUUGAUAGCUCAAUUGGUAGAGCGGUGCACUGUAAGAUGCUCCUUGUGUGAAACGCUGUGAUCCUAAGGUUGCUGGUUCAACUCCAGCUCCAAGCACCUCCUUGUCAUUGGAAAUACCCCCAAGCCUUGUCUUUAUCUGUCAACCCCUUUCAAAAUGUAAAAACACAAACAAGAUAACUCUUUCUUAAAUUUUCAACCAUCAAUUUUUUAUUCACCCAGCCUAAAAGUCCUGAUUAUUAGUUCUGGGUCCCUGGCAAUGACUGUUGGUCACAAACUGCAAAGCUUUGUUCUACAGGUAGGGCUGGGCUUUUCAUUGACCAUGGGUUGGAAUAGUUCUGUGGGCAUAGUGUGUCUCCAAAGCCACUAUGUUUUCUGCUGUUGUGAUUAGAGAGUGCCUUGAUAGCUCAGUUGGUACAGCGGUGGACUGUAAGAUGCUCGUGGACGCUGUGAUCCUAAGGUCACUGGUUCAACCCCAGCUCCAAGCACCUCCUUGUCGUUGGAAAUACCCCCAAGCCUUGUCUUUAUCUGUCAACUCCUCCAAAAUGUAAAAACACAAACAAGAUAACUCUUUCUUUAAUUUUCAACCAUCAAUUUUUUAUUCACCCAGCCUAAAAGUCCUGAUUAUUAGUUCUGGGUCCCUGACAAUGACUGUUGGGUACAAACUGCAAAGCUUUGUUCUACAGGUAGGGCUGGGCUUUUCAUUGACCAUGGGUUGGAAUAGUUCUGUGGGCAUAGUGUGUCUCCAAAGCCACUAUGUUUUCUGCUGUUGUGACCAGAGAGCACCUUCAUAGCUCAGUUGGUAGAGAGGUGCACAGUAAGAUGCUCCUUGUGUGAAAUGCUGUGAUCCUAAUGUCGCUGGUUCAACUCCAGCUCCAAGCACCUCCUUGUCAUUGGAAAUACCCCCAAGCCUUGUCUUUAUCUGUCAACCCCUUUCAAAAUGUAAAAACACAAACAAGAUAACUCUUUCUUAAAUUUUCAACCAUCAAUUUUUUAUUCACCCAGCCUAAAAGUCCUGAUUAUUAGUUCUGGGUCCCUGGCAAUGACUGUUGGUCACAAACUGCAAAGCUUUGUUCUACAGGUAGGGCUGGGCUUUUCAUUGACCAUGGGUUGGAAUAGUUCUGUGGGCAUAGUGUGUCUCCAAAGCCACUAUGUUUUCUGCUGUUGUGACUAUACAGCACCUUCAUAGCUCAGUUGGUAGAGCGGUGGACUGUAAGAGUCUCCUUGUGUGAAAAGCUGUCAUCCUAAGGUCGCUGGUUCAACUCCAGCUCCAAGCACCUCCUUGUGAUUGGAAAUACCCCCAAGCCUUGUCUUUAUCUGUCAACUCCUCCAAAAUGUAAAAACACAAACAAGAUAACUCUUUCUUAAAUUUUCAACCAUCAAUUUUUUAUUCACCCAGCCUAAAAGUCCUGAUUAUUAGUUCUGGGUCCCUGACAAUGACUGUUGGGUACAAACUGUGAGGCUUUGUUCUGCAGGUAGGGCUGGGCUUUUCAUUGACCAUGGGUUUGAAUAGUUCUGUGGGCAUAGUGUGUCUCCAAAGCCACUAUGUUUUCUGCUGUUGUGACUAUAGAGCACCUUGAUAGCUCAGUUGGUAGAGCGGUGAACUGUAAGAUGCUCCUUGUGUGAAACGCUGUGAUCCUAAGGUCGCUGGUUCAACUCCAGCUCCAAGCACCUCCUUGUGAUUGAAAAUACCCCCAAGCCUUGUCUUUAUCUGUCAACUCCUCCAAAAUGUAAAAACACAAACAAGAUAAUUCUUUCUUUAAUUUUCAACCAUCAAUUUUUUAUUCACCCAGCCCAAAAGUCCUGAUUAUCAGUUCUGGGUCCCUGGCAAUGACUGUUGGGUACAAACUGUGAGGCUUUGUUCUGCAGGUAGGGCUGGGCUUUUCAUUGACCAUGGGUUGGAAUAGUUCUGUGGGCAUAGUGUGUCUCCAAAGCCACUAUGUUUUGUGCUGUUGUGACUGGAGAGCACCUUCAUAGCUCAGUUGGUAGAGCGGUGCACAGUAAGAUGCUCCUUGUGUGAAACGCUGCGAUCCUAAGGUCGCUGGUUCAACUCCAACUCCAAGCACCUCCUUCUCAUUGGAAAUUCCCCCAAGCCUUGUCUUUAUCUGUCAACUCCUCCAAAAUGUAAAAACACAAACAAGAAUACUCUUUCUUAAAUUUUCCACCAACAAUUUUUUAUUCACCCAGCCUAAAAGUCCUGAUUAUUAGUUCUGGGUCCCUGGCAAUGACUGUUGGGUACAAACUGCAAAGCUUUGUUCUGCAGGUAGGGCUGGGCUUUUCAUUGACCAUGGGUUGGAAUAGUUCUGUGGGCAUAGUGUGUCUCCAAAGCCACUAUGUUUUCUGCUGUAGUGACUAGACAGCACCUUGAUAGCUCAGUUGGUAGAGCGGUGGACUGUAACAUGCUCCUUGUGUGAAACGCUGUGAUCCUAAGGUCGCUGGUUCAACUCCAGCUCCAACCACCUCCUUGUCAUUGGAAAUACCCCCAAGCCUUGUCUUUAUCUGUCAACUCCUCCAAAAUGUAAAAACACAAAAAAUAUAACUCUUUCUUAAAUUUUCCACCAACAAUUUUUUAUUCACCCAGCCUAAAAGUCCUGAUUAUUAGUUCUGGGUCCCUGGCAAUGACUGUUGGGUACAAACUGCAAAGCUUUGUUCUACAGAUAGGGCUGGGCUUUUCAUUGACCAUGGGUUGGAAUAGUUCUGUGGGCAUAGUGUGUCUCCAAAGCAACUAUGUUUUCUGCUGUUGUGACUAGAAAGCACCUUCAUAGCUCAGUUGGUAGACCGGUGGACUGUAAGAUGCUCCUUGUGUGAAACGCUGUGAUCCUAACAUCGCUGGUUCAACUCCAACUCCAAGCACCUCCUUGUCAUUGGAAAAACCCCCAGCCUUGUCUUUAUCUGUCAACUCCUCCAAAAUGUAAAAACACAAACAAGAUAACUCUUUCUUAAAUUUUCAACCAUCAAUUUUUUAUUCACCCAGCCUAAAAGUCCUGAUUAUUAGCUCUGGGUCCCUGACAAUGACUGUUGGGUACAAACUGUGAGGCUUUGUUCUGCAGGUAGGGCUGGACUUUUCAUUGACCAUGGGUUGGAAUAGUUCUGUGGGCAUAGUGUGUCUCCGAAGCCACUAUGUUUUCUGCUGUUGCGACCAGAGAGCACCUUGAUAGCUCAGUUGGUAGAGCGGUGGACUGUAAGAUGCUCCUUGUGUGAAAUGCUUUGAUCCUAAGGUCGCUGGUUCAACUCCAGCUCCAAGCACCUCCUUGUCAUUGGAAAUUCCCCCAAGCCUUGUCUUUAUCUGUCAACUCCUCCAAAAUGUAAAAACACAAACAAGAUAACUCUUUCUUAAAUUUUCCACCAACAAUUUUUUAUUCACCCAGCCUAAAAGUCCUGAUUAUUAGUUCUGGGUCCCUGACAAUGACUGUUGGGUACAAACUGCAAAGCUUUGUUCUACAGGUAGGGCUGGGCUUUUCAUUGACCAUGGGUUGGAAUAGUUCUGUGGGCAUAGUGUGUCUCCAAAGCCACUAUGUUAUCUGCUGUUGUGAAUAGAGCGCACCUUCAUAGCUCAGUUGGUAGAGCGGUGGACAGUAAGAUGCUCCUUGUGUGAAACGCUGUGAUCCUAAUGUCGCUGGUUCAACUCCAGCUCCAAGCACCUCCUUGUCAUUAGAAAUACCCCCAAUCCUUGUCUUUAUCUGUCAACUCCUCCAAAAUGAAAAAACACAAACAAGAUAACUCUUUCUUAAAUUUUCCACCAACAAUUUUUUAUUCACCCAGCCUAAAAGUCCUGAUUAUUAGUUCUGGGUCCCUGACAAUGACUGUUGGGUACAAACUGUGAGGCUUUGUUCUGCAGGUAGGGCUGGGCUAUUCAUUGACCAUGGGUUGGAAUAGUUCUGUGGGCAUAGUGUGUCUCCAAAGCCACUAUGUUUUCUGCAGUUGUGAGUAGAGAGCACCUUGAUAGCUCAGUUGGUAGAGCAGAGGACUGUAGGAAGUUCCUCAUAUGCAAUGCCGUGAUGCUACGGUCGCUGGUUCAACUCCAGCUCGAAGCAUGUGCAUUUCAUUGGUGUGAGCAAUGUUCUAGGUCUGAUCAUAUUUAAAUAAUGCCAAGCCUUUUCUUCAUUUGUCAACUCCUCCAAAAUGUAAAAACACAAACAAUAUAACUCCUUCUUAAUUUUCCAACCAUCAAUUUUUUAUUCACCCAGUCUUAACGUCCUGAUGAUCAGUUCUGGGUCCUUGGCAAUGACUGUUGGUUACAAACUGUGAAGCUCUGUUCUGAAGGUAGGACUGGGCUUUAUAUCGGCCAUGUCAAUCAAAAGUCCUGAUUAUCAGUUUUAGGUCCCUGGCAAUGACUGUUGGGUACAAACUGCAAAGCUUUGUUCUGCAGGUAGGGCUGGGCUUUUCAUUGACCAUAUUGGCUGAGACGACACACUUUGCCAACACAACUAUUCAACCAAUAUGUUUUCUGCAGUUGUGACCAGAGAACACCUUGAUUGCUCAGUUGGUAGAGCGGAGGACUGUAAGAAGUUCCUCAUAUGAAAUGCUAUGAAAUCAUUAAUGUGAUCCUCAAGACUCUUGAGGAUUAGUGAAACCGAUAGACAUACUAUCAUGACAACAGUGGUAUUUGCAGAUCAAACAGUCCUUCUGAUCUGUCUCCACGUGUUGCUCAUGUCUGUUGACCCAUCGAACUUCACUCUCUUUUUGAAAUGCAAUUUAUUUCUAGCAGGACUCAAAUUUUCCAAGCCUGUGAACUCCUUUUCUCUUCUGUUCCUCGAGGACAGACUAGACUGGCGAAUCUUUUUCUCUAGUAAUGGAAUCUUUCUGACUCUCUGAAAGUCCUGACCCUCCCUCUCUUCCAGUUUUCUGAUGAUGUCUCUCUUUUCUAUAUUUUUUUCCCUCAAGCCAUCAACAACCGACUGCUCCAAGUUUUCUUUCUCGCCACUCAUCUCCAUCUCCCUUCCUCCCUCGAACCCCUCCAUCACUGUCACCCUCCGCUCUACUUGGCUGGACAACAGCCAUCAACUACACACACACACACACACACACACACACACACACACACACACACACACACACACACACACACACACACACACACACACACACUAUUAUUUUGUUUCUCCCAGUCAUCCUUCUGUCUCUCUCUCUCUCUCUCUUUCUCUCUCACACACACACUCAAAAUGCUUGUCUCUCUCCCUCUCUGUCAGUGAAACACCUCAAACUUGCUUUGGGACGCCUGAACUCAUCGAUCACUGUGUGGUGAGACUUGGGCUUGUUAUGUCGCUUCCUCUCUGAAAAGUGCUGCAUUUGUAUUUGUACAUGUACCCGAGCACAUCUGGUGUUUUCACACAUGUGCAGAAGUGCUAAAUCUUCAUAUUUUGUUAUUUUUCCUCUUGAAAACAUGAGCAGUUGAGGAUUGAAGUUAAGGAAGUAAAGUCAAAGGUCAUCUGCCUACACUUGUCAUGUCAGAACGAAACAUUAAAAAACAUUGAGAAAAUGUCCAAUUAAAAAAAAAAAUCAAAAUUCAAAAACACCAGGAGCAAACAAACAUGGUGGAAGUGAGGUAGGGAGCAGCAACACAAGGACAGGCUUCAACCCUAACCCUAACGAGCAACAGGUGAAACAGACCAGACACAGGUGAGACUCAUUAGUAAUUAACAAAGGAGGGAAAACUGAGGAAGUAAAACUGGACUUGACACACAGGGAUUGACUUCUACAAAGGUAGACAGGAAACACUGAAAACUGAACAGAGAAACCAAACCAAAACGUGAACAGGAACAAAAGAAUGACGCACACUGAGGAAACAGGAACAGAAACACACAGAAAAUACAACUAAAUUACCAAACCAGGAAAAACUACAUUUGCAAGAACAUAUCGUAACAACAUGACCAUAGUGUAUUCACAUGGUAGAGACAUAUUAAAGAGACCGAUUUGUCUAUUUACAUUUUGCCACAAUCAAUUCCUGAAUAAGUUGAUGUGUUUGGUUUUCUUGCAAUUUUUGUGAUUUAGGCCCCGUUUAUAUGUACCCAGUUAUUUUACAAAACUGUGACACUGACCAUUGUUUGCACCCUCCGUUUGAUACACACAGAGAAUUUGACGAUGCUUUUUGAAAACUCCAGCCAGAGUGGAAAUUUUGGAAACAUUUUGAAAACUGUUUGCACAUUUGCAUGUAAACAGAGAAAAACUGAGAUUUGGGUAGCCAAUGGCAGAUUGUGUGUAGGAUAGAAGGAAGGGAUGUUGUUGUUGUUGUUGUUGUUGUUGUUGUUGUUGCUGCUAUGUGGGAUUCUGAUUGGCUAAUGUGGGCUUGAGGUUCUUGUUACACUGCCACCCACAUGUUUGAUAUGCUCUUGAUGGCAUAUAUACACGGGUUAGUGUAAACGAAAACUUUUCUGAAAACGUAGUGGUGUGUACACAGUUUUUUUUGUAAAUGGAGAGGGUGAAAUGUCCGUUUAUGAAAAUAGUCAGGCACAUCUAAACGCAGUCUUAUUCUUGUUUUAUGUUGUGAUUUUACUCACACUCGUCUCUGUCUUUUCAGAUCCUGCCUCUUGUGUUUGCUCCUCCCUGAUUACCCUCACCUGCAUCUCAUUCUCCCCUGAUUGUCUGUGUAUCUAAUUCCUCUGUGUUUUCCCUCCUGUUGCCAGUUCAUUGUGUUUUCCCUUGUGUUACCUUUGUUCCAGCAUUUCUCUAGUGUUUGACUGUGUGUGUUCUUGACUUCUGCCUGUUCCUCGACUCUGCCUUCUGCCUCUUCUCUCUUAAUAGUUUGCCUGAUCCCUCUGACUUUUUGUGUACCAAACCUUUUUUUGAAUAAAUAACCAGCUUUUUUGAACACUGAAUUGAGUUUAAGCUUGAAUCAGGGCUAUGAUAAAACAUUAUUUUCUAACUGCAAAGGCUGCGAUUUUGACUGGUUAUGUGAUCUGGUCACGUGACUUGCGAGCUAGCGGACAAACGGAGCGAAGCAGAGCUCCGGGGCAGGUUAGGUUCCGGAUUGAACUCAGUAUAAAAACCCCGCCCACUGACCAAUGAGCUCUCUCAAAAAAUGGCUUGUCCGUUCUUGGAGGAUCCCAUAGACCUCGGUGCUUGCAUUGUCCGAGGAGCACUCCGGCGUGCGAGAGUUUUCAGGGACUGCACGGACCCACUUACCGGAUGACCACCUUUAUGAAAGGCUCAUAUGGCCUACAUAUCACACAAAAAAUGUAAACAUGAUAGGAAUAAACAAAUGAAUGAAUUAGACAUGUCUGGAGCAUGUUAAAAGCGCAUGUUGAACAGUGAUAUUUCAGGGUGAUAAAGGCAUCAAAGAUUUUUUGUGCACUAUAUUUACACAUUGAGACUGUCUGCAAUUUUCUGCCAGCAUUCCUUCCAUGCUUUUGCAGCGGCGACCGUGUUGCCUUUGAGGUUUAUGAUAGAUUUGAAUUCCCCAUACUUUCUCAUGAUCGUCUCCUGCUCCUCGUUUGUAAAGUACGUGGUUUUUCGCUCUCCGGCCUGCUCUGACACUCCAGACUGGUCCAUGUUCGUGAUUGGUCAGAUGCGGCGGGCUCCGCCUUACAUGCGUGCACGCGCUCAUAGCAAAGCUGGAUGCACUUACGAGGUUGAUAACCAGCGUCGCAAGACCGUUAAGCGAGACCGCUGGCUACCGCGCUAAGUUGAGCGAGGUAGCUCCAAGGCUACCUCGCUAGGUCGAACUUGCGUCGUAGAAUAGGCCCCAGGUAGAAAGAGAAGUCAACACUGCACUCUGUCACACUAUGGCCUAAUUCUGCUACAGAAGCUGACACUACAGAAAGUUGUUCAUUUAAAGGUGUUAUAGCCACUUACUGACCACUACCUUUAGACCUGCUCCUUGCUGAAUCGAAGUCAAACUCACCCCUUUCCCAGCUAUGUUAAAGUCUACCAACUCCUCAGUAAAUUUCUGUCUUUUCUCUUCUUCCACUGAAAUGCAAAAUUAAGCCUGUAAUGACUCAAAAUUCCACUAACAGAGAGUCAAGGUGUAGAGGACUCCAUGAAUCAGUGCUGCACAAGAUUGUGUUGUUAUUUUUUUUUCUGUCACUGUGGGAGUCUGUUAAAGUUUUUUUUUUCACCUACCAGACUUUGAACACUUUUUAUCAAAGACCACGCACAGUUUUGAGUUUAUUUCAUGUGCAGUCUGUAGUUAUAUCUGUUUUGGUUGUUUUGUAUUUCAUUUCCUUUCUUAUGUCUUCUCUAUCAUAUCAUCAGUAAACUGAGCAGACUGAAUAGGAUUACUGUUAGUUCUCUAGUCUUUGAGUAAAGUCACAUGUGUCACCCCCCCAUAUUGUAAGUGGGGCCUCUGAUUUUCCCUUGGAGGUAGUAUGUGCAUGACUGUGUGUGUGUUUGUGUGUGUGUGUGUGUGUGUUUGUGUGUGUGUGUGUGUGUGUGUAUGUGUGUGUGUGGCAUUCCCGCUGAGUGCUAACAAACCUAAAGCCUGAACAAACCCUAAUCCCAACGACUGUCUGUGAUAGGGAAAUAGAAAA